AAAUGAUAAAACUAAAGGUACAAAGUAAUUUUUUUAGUAUAUAUCAUCACACAAUCAUAGUACAACCAGCACACACAAGCCAUCAUCCUCCGUACAAGCCAGAAAAGUAAAUAAGAACAAUCACAAGAUUUACAUGGGCAUCAUGCCCUAAUCUUGAUUGAUCUUGACAUUAUAUAGCAUGGGAUGACUUAAUGGUGGUGGGUUACAACACACCACUUAUUUAAUCCAACCGGCAAUAUAAGUAAUGACGAUACUAUGUCUGGCAUGGUUGAUGUACCCGAACAUCUCAUGCCAACAAUUACUCUUGGACGUUUGCUUCACCAUUUCCUUUUUCUGCUUGAGUCCCAAGUGGUGGUUUUGGUUGUGCAUUCGGGUCAGGCAGUGGUUGUGGAUUCGGGUCUGGUAAUGGUUGUGGGUUUGGAUCAGGUUGCGGUCCUGGUAAUGGCUGAGGGUUUGGGUUUGGCUGUGGGUCCGGCAAUGGCUUCGGGUUUGGGUCUGGUAAUGGUUGCGGGUUUGGAUGAGGUUGUGGUCCUGGUAAUGGCUGAGGGUUUGGGUUUGGCUGUGGGUUCGGCAAUGGUAUCGGGUUUGGGUCUGGUAAUGGUUCUGGGUUUGGAUCAGGCUGUGGUCCUGGUAAUGGCUGAGGGUUUGGGUUUGGUUGUGGGUCCGGCAAUGGUUUUGGGUUUGGGUCUGGUAAUGGUUGUGGAUUUCGAUCAGGCUGCGGUCUUGGUAAUGGUUGAGGGUUUGGUUUUGCUCGUGGGUCUGGUAGUGGCCGCGGCUUUGUGUUUGGCUGUGGGUUCAUCAACUGUUGCAGGUUUUGUCCUGGCAAUAGUUGUGGAUUUGGGUCAGGNNNNNNNNNNGUUGUGGGUUUGGAUCAGGUUGCGGCCCUGGUAGUGGCUUAGGGUUUGGGUUUGGCUGUGGGUCCGGCAAUGGUUUUGGGUUUGGGUCUGGUAAUGGUUGUGGAUUUCGAUCAGGCUGCGGUCUUGGUAAUGGUUGAGGGUUUGGUUUUGCUCGUGGGUCUGGUAGUGGCCGCGGCUUUGUGUUUGGCUGUGGGUUCAUCAACUGUUGCAGGUUUUGUCCUGGCAAUAGUUGUGGAUUUGGGUCAGGGUGUGGUCCUGGUAAUGGUUGAGCGUUUGGAUCAGGUUGUGGAUCUAGCAGUGGUUGUGGGUUUGUAUGAGGUUUAGGCUCGGGUAGCGGUUGCGGCUUUGGGUCUGGUUGUGGUCCCGGCAAUGGUUGAGGGUUUGGAUCUGGCUGUUUUCCUGGUAGUGGUUCUGGAUUUGGGUUCGCCCGUGGGCCGUACUGAGGGUCUCUAGUGAUCAGGUUGUGCCUCCCGGCAGCAAGAGCAAACACUGGAAGAAGCAUAAGCAGCAACGGUGCUACGAGAAGAGAAGACGCGGAUGGGCGCUUCCUCAUCGUCAUGGCUAAGCUUGUGUUGGUACGAACUUGCAAGUGCGUGCGUCUCGAUCUUCCUAUUUAUAAGCGAAUUCAGCCAUCAAGGCUGGACAAGCAUGUACGUUGUUUACUCCAACUCUGAUUGGGCUUGUUAGCUUUGCCUUUUUGAAGAUGCGGGACUGCACGCCUCCGCUUAGUGCUCUAACCAGCAGCUAGCCACAAUAAAAAGUCAUUUAGAAAAGUUUUGAGUUAUCAUCAUAAAGAAAAAGUUUGUGUAGUUUUCGUCUGGAUAGAUGUGACAUUUUUCAGUUGAUCGUAGGAGAGCAACAUGCAGAAGCAUACAGUUGCCCAAGUUGUGAACAACCUGAUCACUUUCAGUAAUUCUGUUGAAUUCAUAGCAGGGUAGCAGAUGGCUGUGAGCAUGGAAUUUGUAAAUCAUGUAAUUUUUUUUAAAAUAAGAAAAAUCAUGUAAACACGUAUACAUGUUAUUUGCGUGUCCAAGAAGUUUAAUUAAGCCAUACACAGAUUUGUAGGCUACAUAAAAAAAAUCCAGCCCAAAUGCAAUAGAAAUAAGCCUAUUUUAAAUUAUGUAUUUGUCGUUUUCCCCUUUGUGUAGACUAUAUAUGAUUUUUUUUCAAAUAUAUUUUGUUGAAAUUUUGUAUGAACACACUAUACCUUUUUUAUUGAAAAUUUUGAGGUGCAAGAAUAAAGUUCUUGAUAAAAAAUAAAGAAGCCUGUACGAUGUAUUGUUGUACACAGGAAUAUCGUGGAUUCUAAACUUGAGGUUUGCAUGGAUGGAUUUUUUUUACGGAAUCUAGUUUAAAUGAGUCCUAUUGUUUCCCGUAUGAAUUCCUAUUCUAUGACUCAAACAACACAUACAGAAAAAUUUUCUAAGGAUUAGAUUCCUCCAAAAUUCUAUUAAAAGUUUAAAACCCCUUUGAAUCAAAGAAGCCUAUUCCCCCCAAAAUAAAGAAAAGAAUCAAAUGAGCUCGGGUGAACAGUAAAAUCAAAACUAAAUCAAUUUUUUUUUAAAAAAAUCCAAUUUUUUUUGGGAGAAAAAGUUCUAAGUGCUUGCAAAAAUUCGCCAUGAAAUCACAUUUCUAGAAGGCGUGGCAAAAAAAAAAAACAAAAUCAGUACUCUGAAAAAGCUACUUUCAAAAGCAUUUUGGAGCACUGAAUUUGUUUUUUUUGCCACGCUUUACAGGAAUGUGAUUUCAUGAUGAAUUUUUGCAAGCACUUAAAACUUUUGUUAAUGUUUCUCCCAAAAAAAAUUGGGAAUUUUUUGAAUUUUUUUUGAAUUUUUUUCGAUUUUACUGUUCACCAAGCUCAAAUGAGCUCGGGAGCAGAAAGGCACUUUCGAUCAAAGAAGCCUAUUUCGCAGCAAAGCUAGUGGCUGUCCUAUCGGACAGUGAUGCACCUUUAAGUACGCGGUUUCUAAUAAUCACGAUCAGUGCACGCCGUGCACAGUGCACUCAUUUCGGUUGUAGAUGUAACUUUCACAUUUCAUACACCAAUCACGAUCAGUUGCUUGUUGGCACGGGCGGAGCUCCGUAGGGGCAGACCUGGGCCAUGGCCCGCCCAGGAAUUUGACAAAAAAAGUUUUUACUACUAGUCGUCUUAGCCCAGCCCACUAGCCCACGCACGCACUGAAUAUCCCCCCAUCGGCCAUCGUCUCCUCGUCUCGCGCACGCUGCACGCACAGGCACACUCACGCCUUCCCCAAUUCCCCAUCCUCUCAGUCCCAGACUCAUGUAGGUUGUAGCCACGCCGCCGACGACUACCGACGUGGACAGGGAACACGUCCACACGGUCCACCGGAGCGCGCCGCCCGCCAUCUCUCGGAGCAACCGCCAUGGCAACGCCCGCCGGGAUCUCGCCUCGCCCCUGCCCUGCUCCCUCCUGCCGCCCAUCAUCCGCACACUUACANNNNNNNNNNNNNNNNNNNNNNNNNNNNNNNNNNNNNNNNNNNNNNNNNNNNNNNNNNNNNNNNNNNNNNNNNNNNNNNNNNNNNNNNNNNNNNNNNNNNNNNNNNNNNNNNNNNNNNNNNNNNNNNNNNNNNGCAAUAACCUGAUUUUGUUCAUUUCCAUACACCCAGUGAUCAGUCCUGCUAGUGAUAAAUAAUAGUCUGAUGAUCUGAUCUUACGCAAAUUUUAACAUAGGUAGUCGGGAAAGGAAAAUAAGACUCAGAGAAGAAGAAGAUCACUGCACAAUAAGAUGGAAGAUGAGAAUCUGGCUAAUAACUUGUUAGUUCACAUAGAUGGUGGAAUUCUAGAAAACUACAGCCACGAAGAUGUCAUUGCAGAUUUUAUAAACAAGAAGAUCGGAGAGUUGAUUGUAUGUGAGUAGGUCCAUGUCUAAUGUCUCUGACACUUUUGUAUUAUCUAACUCAAUAGUGAAACAUGGUUGAACUGUACUUUGGUACAUAUAUAUAUUAUAUAUAUACAUAUCUGCUAGCUCAAUCUUGUGACCUGGGUGCUUGUAAUAUGUCCUUAUGGGUAAGAAUUUAGAAAAAAUUGUGUUCUUCUUCAGUCUGGCCCGCCCAACUUUUUCGUUCAAGCUCCGCCACUGCUUGUUGGUGCACAUCCAAUGCUCUAGAAUAAAACAAAAAGUACUCCUAUAUACAAAACGUACUUUACCUAACCUACCGAUUGAAUCGUAUACAUAGAUGAAAAAGAAAAGACAUCCGUAGAGUCCCAAGUUACCUACCGAUUGAAUCGUAUGUAUAGAUGAAAAAGAAAAGACAUCCAUAGAGUACCAAGUUACCUACCGAUUGAAUCAUACAUAUAGACGAAAAAGAAAAGACAUGCAUAGAGUACCAAGUUAAAGACGAUAUGACCUCACAACUAGAUUGGGUUGGGUGAGUGGAGUGCCACUUUAAUCCUUGUCUGGAGCACGCGCUAUGAUAUUUCUUCAGAGGCGCUGAAGUGGGGAACAAGACUGAUAGAACAAACAACAAGUGAGAUAUUUUGAGCUUCACUAGGUUGGAGGCCUGGUGUGCUCAGAAUUUAUCAGGGUGUAUUCAGGUUGCAGCACUGCUGCCAAGGCAUUUCUCCAGCUUCGCUCUGAAGAUCUUUUGCUUUGCUUUGUUCCUCUGUUUGUUUGUAAUGAAGUUCCCGUGUUUUGUGAUGGUUGCAAGUUCCCUGUAGUCUUUAUAUAUUUGGCUCAAGGGUGCCUGAAAAUUUCAUAGUUAUGUUUAAAAAAAUGCCGUAGUUGUUAGUUUUUGGACCAUCUAUCUAAAUCUAUCAAAGACCCUGUUGCCCGAGCUAGCCAAUCAAAGUUGGGCCAUUUGCAUCAAGCUAGGUAGGAUGCGUCGCCGGAAAACCCAAAUCGCUAAUUAAGGAGUACUCUUUGCAAAGGUCACUCCUACCAUGUCGCAACUAGUGAGUUUUCCUUUUUUUGUCGAUUCGUUUAUUCAACACGUUUUAUCGGUUAAAACAUGCAUUCACAUCUUGAAUCGUUUUCUCCAUUGUAUUCCUCGCACUGAGAUCUUGAAAAUUAGAUCCGAUCUGAUAGGUUUUGAUGAACGUUUUACUUUACGAAAAAUACCGAACAAAAAACAAACCGGGAGCACAUUUUUUCCUUUCUGAAAAGGGCACAAUCGUGCCUCUCGUGUCGUUACAAAUCUUAUCUCUGUUCGUCGUUACAAAUCCUAUGAAUUGCUAUUCUAUCUUCACAACAUCCUAUACUCCCCUUGUGUCGUUACAAAUCUUAUCUCUGUUCGUCGUUUUUGCAUUGACAAUUCAGUAACAAUUGAGUUUUACCCCCUUGACUUUGUUGUGAAGGAUCUAGCCACUCGGACUCCUUAUGAGCCGCAGUAGCUACGGCCAGCUUUACUCCUUCUCCGGCGGCACCACCAACCACCAGGCGGUGCUCUCUAUGGACGUUGGAAACUUGUGGCAUCAGCGAUUAGGGCACCCCAGUGCUGCCUCCCUUUCCCGUUUGGCGAGCAGUUUUUAACCAAAUUGUAAUAAGCCAGUCCACCCCAUGGUACUUGUCAUGCAUGUCAAUUAGGCCACCAUGCUCUCCUUCCUUUUUCCAGAUUCUCUGUCAUUUACUACUUUUCCUUUUCAACUAGUGCACUAUGAUAUAUGAACCUCAACAAUUGCGAGUUUUUCCGGCUUCAAAUAUUAUUUGUUUGUCAUAGACGACUUCACUCACUUCCCUUGGAGCUUCCCGCUACACCAUAAGCCCCAUGCCGCUGCCACCCUUGAACGCUUUUACCAGUACGUGCUCAUACAAUUCCGUGUUUACAUACAGUGUGUCCAAUGUGAUAAUGGGGGCGACUUCCUCAACGUUCACCUAUGCACUUUCUGUUGGGGAACGUUGCAGAAAACAAAAAUUUUCCUACGGUUUCACCAAGAUCCAUCUAGGACUUCAUCUAGCAACGAGUAAUCGGAUUGCAUCUACGUACCUUGUAGAUCGCGAGUGGAAGCGUUCAAAGAACGGGGAUGAGGGAGUCGUACUCGACGUGAUCCAAAUCACCGGAGAUCCUAGCGCCGAACGGACGACACCUCCGCGUUCAACACACGUACGGUCAGCGUAACGUCUCCUUCCUCUUGAUCCAGCAAGGGGCAAGGAGAGGUUGAGGAAGAUGGCUCCAGCAGCAGCACGACGGCGUGGUGGUGAUGGAGCUGCAGUACUCCGGCAGGGCUUCGCCAAGCUCUAUGGAGGAGGAGGAUGUGUUGGAGAGGGAGAGGGAGGCACCAAAGGCAAAGGUAAGAGGUCCUCCAUCCUCCCCACUAUAUAUAGGGGGGCCUAGGGGGGGACGCCGGCCCUAGGAGAUGCAAUCUCCUAGGGGGGCGGCGGCCAAGGGGUGGGGGACUUGCCCCCCAAGCAAGGGGGCGUCCCCCCCCUUUAGGGUUUCCCCCACCCUAGGCGCAUGGGCCCUAGGGGAAGUGGCGCCCCAGCCCACUUUGGGCUGGAUCCCUUCCCACUUCAGCCCAUGGGGCCCUCCGGGAUAGGUGGCCCCACCCGGUGGACCCCCGGGACCCUUCCGGUGGUCCCGGUACAAUACCGGUGACCCCGAAACUUGUCCCGAUAGCCGAAAUAGCACUUCCUAUAUAUAAUUAUUUACCUCCGGACCAUUCCGGAACUCCUCGUGAUGUCCGGGAUCUCAUCCGGGACCCCGAACAACAUCCGGGUUACUGCAUAUACAUAUCCCUAUAACCCUAGCGUCACCGAACCUUAAGUGUGUAGACCCUACGGGUUCGGGAGACAUGUAGACAUGACCGAGAUCGCUCUCCGGUCAAUAAACAAUAGCGGGAUCUGGAUACCCAUGUUGGCUCCCACAUGCUCCUCGAUGAUCUCAUCGGAUGAACCACGAUGUCGAGGAUUCAAGCAACCCCGUAUACAAUUCCCUUCGUCAGUCGGUAUGUUACUUGCCCGAGAUUCGGUCGUCGGUAUCCCAAUACCUCGUUCAAUCUCGUUACCGGCAAGUCACUUUACUCUUACCGUAAUGCAUGAUCCCGUGACCAGACACUUGGUCACUUUGAGCUCAUUAUGAUGAUGCAUUACCGAGUGGGCCCAGUGAUACCUCUUCGUCAUACGGAGUGACAAAUUCCAGUCUUGAUCCGUGUCAACCCAACAGACACUUUCGGAGAUACCCGUAGUAUACCUUUAUAGUCACCCAGUUACUUGUGACGUUUGGUACACCCAAAGCACUCCUACGGUAUCCGGGAGUUACACGAUCUCAUGGUCUAAGGAAAAGAUACUUGACAUUGGAAAACUCUAGCAAAUGAACUAUACGAUCUUGUGCUAUGUUUAGGAUUGGGUCUUGUCCAUCACAUCAUUCUCCUAAUGAUAUGAUCUCGUUAUCAAUGACAUUCAAUGUCCAUAGUCAGGAAACCAUGACUAUCUUUGAUCAACGAGCUAGUCAACUAGAGGCUUACUAGGGACAUGUUGGUGUCUAAGUAUUCACACAUGUAUUACAAUUUCCGGAUAACACAAUUAUAGCAUGAAUAAAAGACAAUUAUCAUGAACAAGGAAAUAUAAUAAUAAUGCUUUUAUUAUUGCCUCUAGGGCAUAUUUCCAACAGUCUCCCACUUGCACUAGAGUCAAUAAUCUAGUUACAUUGUGAUGAAUCGAACACCCAUGGAAUUCUGGUGUUGAUCAUGUUUUGCUCUAGGGAGAGGUUUAGUCAACGGAUCUGCUACAUUCAGGUCCAUAUGUACUUUACAAAUAUCUAUGUCUCCAUCUUGAACAUUUUCACGAAUGGAGUUGAAGCGACGCUUGAUGUGCCUCGUCUUCUUGUGAAAUCUGGGCUCCUUGGCAAGUGCAAUAGCUCCAUGUUGUCACAGAAGAGCUUCAUAGGCCCCGAUGCAUUGGGUAUGACUCCUAGGUCGGUGAUGAACUCCUUCACCCAAAUUGCUUCAUGCGCUGCCUCCGAGGCUGCCAUGUACUCCGCUUCACAUGUAGAUCCCGCCACGACGCUCUUCUUGCAACUGCACCAGCUUACUGCCCUACCAUUCAAAAUAUACACGUAUCCGGUUUGUGACUUAGAGUCAUCCAGAUCUGUGUCGAAGCUAGCAUCGACGUAACCAUUUACGACGAGCUCUUCGUCACCUCCAUAGACGAGAAACAUUUCCUUAGUCCUUUUCAGGUACUUCAGGAUAUUCUUGACCGCUGUCCAGUGUUCCUUGCCGGGAUUACUUUGGUACCUACCUACCAAACUUACGGCUAGGUUUACAUCAGGUCUGGUACACAGCAUGGCAUACAUAAUAGAACCUAUGGCUGAGGCAUAGGGGAUGAUACUCAUCUCUUCUAUAUCUUCUGCCGUGGUCGGACAUUGAGCUGAGCUCAAUUUCAUACCUUGCAACACAGGCAAGAACCCCUUCUUAGACUGAUCCAUAUUGAAUUUCUUCAAUAUCUUAUCAAGGUAUGUGCUUUGUGAAAGACCUAUGAGGCGUCUUGAUCUAUCUCUGUAGAUCUUGAUGCCUAAUAUAUAAGCAGCUUCUCCAAGGUCCUUCAUUGAAAAACUCUUAUUCAAGUAGGCCUUAAUGCUGUCCAAAAGUUCUAUAUCAUUUCCCAUCAAAAGUAUGUCAUCUACAUAUAAUAUGAGAAAUGCUACAGAGCUCCCACUCACUUUCUUGUAAACACAGGCUUCUCCAUAAGUCUGCGUAAACCCAAACGCUUUGAUCAUCUCAUCAAAGCGAAUGUUCCAACUCCGAGAUGCUUGCACCAGCCCAUAAAUCGAGCGUUGGAGCUUGCACACCUUGUCAGCAUACUUAGGAUCGACAAAACCUUACGGCUGCAUCAUAUACCAUUCUUCCUUAAGGAAACCAUUAGGAAUGCCGUUUUGACGUCCAUUUGCCAUAUUUCAUAAUCAUAGAAUGCGGCAAUUGCUAACAUGAUUCGGACGGACUUCAGCUUCGCUACCGGUGAGAAAGUCUCAUCGUAGUCAACCCCUUGAACUUGUCGAUAACCCUUAGCGACAAGCCGAGCUUUAUAGAUGGUCACACUACCAUCCGCGUCUGUCUUCUUCUUAAAGAUCCAUUUAUUUUCUAUGGCUUGCCGCUCUACGGCCAAGUCAGUCAAAGUCCAUACUUCGUUUUCAUACAUGGAUCCUAUCUCGGAUUUCAUGGCUUCCAGCCAUUUGUCAGAAUCCGGGCCCGCCAUCGCUUCUUCAUAGUUUGAAGGUUCACCGUUGUCUAACAACAUGAUUUCCAAGACAGGGUUGCCGUACCAAUCUGGUGCGGAACGUGUCCUUGUGGACCUUCGAAUUUCAGUAGGAGCUUGAUCAGAAGUAUCUUGAUCAUCAUCAUUAACUUCCUCUCUAGUCGGUGCAGGCACCUCAGGAACAUUUUCUUGAGUUGCGCCAUUUUCCGGUUCAAGAGGUAAUACUUCAUCAAGUUCUACUUUCCUCCCAUUUACUUCUUUCGAGAGAAACUCCUUCUCUAGAAAGGAUCCAUUCUUGGCAACAAAGAUCUUGCCUUCGGAUCUGAGGUAGAAGGUAUACCCAAUAGUUUCUUUAGGGUAUCCUAUGAAGACGCAUUUUUCCGACUUGGGUUCGAGCUUUUCAGGUUGAAGUUUCUUGACAUAAGCAUCGCAUACCCAAACUUUUAGAAACGAUAGCUUAGCUUUCUUCCCAAACCAUAAUUCAUACGGUGUCGUCUCAACGGAUUUCGACGGAGCCCUAUUUAAAGUGAAUGCGGGAGUCUCUAAAGCAUAGCCCCAAAAAGAUAGCGGUAAAUCGGUAAGAGACAUCAUAGAUCACACCAUAUCUAAUAGAGUGCGAUUACGACGUUCGGACACACCAUUACGCUGAGGUGUUCCAAGCGGCGUGAGUUGUGAAACUAUUCCAUAUUUUCUUAAGUGUGUGCCAAACUCGUGACUCAAGUAUUCUCCUUCACGAUCUGAUCGCAGGAACUUGAUUUUCCUGUCACGUUGAUUCUCAACCUCACUCUGAAAUUCCUUGAACUUUUCAAAGGUCUCAGACUUGUGUUUCAUUAAGUAGACAUACCCAUAUAUACUCAAGUCAUCAGUGAGGGUGAGAACAUAACGCCACCGUGAGCCUCAACAGUCAUUGGACCGCACACAUCAGUAUGUAUGAUUUCCAAUAAGUUGGUUUCUCGCUCCAUUGUUCCUGAGAACGGAGUCUUGGUCAUUUUACCCAUGAGGCAUGAUUCGCACAUGUCAAAUGAUUCGUAAUCAAGAGACUCUAAAAGUCCAUCAGCAUGGAGCUUCUUCAUGCGUUUGACACCUAUGUGACCAAGGCGGCAGUGCCACAAGUAUGUGGGACUAUCAUUAUCAAUCUUACAUCUUUUGGUACUCACACUAUGAACAUGUGUAGCAUUACGCUCGAGAUUCAUUAAGAAUAAACCAUUCACCAUCGGAGCAUGACCAUAAAACAUAUCUCUCAUAUAAAUAGAACAACCAUUAUUCUCGGAUUUAAAUGAGUAGCCAUCUCGAAUUAAACGAGAUCCUGAUACAAUGUUCAUGCUCAAAGCUAGCACUAAAUAACAAUUAUUAAGGUUUAAAACUAAUCCCGAAGGUAAAUGUAGAGGUAGCGUGCCGACGGCGAUCACAUUGACCUUGGAACCAUUCCCGACGCGCAUCGUCACCUCGUCCUUCGCCAGUCUCCGCUUAUUCCGCAGCUCCUGUUUUGAGUUACAAAUGUGAGCAACCGCACCGGUAUCAAAUACCCAGGAGCUACUACGAGUACUGGUAAGGUACACAUCAAUUACAUGUAUAUCACAUAUACCUUUCGUGAUGCCGGCCUUCUUGUCCGCUAAGUAUUUGGGGCAGUUUCGCUUCCAGUGACCACUUCCCUUGCAAUAAAAGCACUUAGUCUCGGGCUUGGGUCCAUUCUUUGGCUUCUUCCCGGCAGCUUGCUUGCCGGGCGCGGCAACUCCCUUGUCGUCCUUCUUGAAGGCUUUCUUACCCUUGCCCUUCUUGAACUUAGUGGUUUUAUUCACCAUCAACACUUGAUGUUCCUUUUUGACUUCUACCUCAGCUGAUUUCAGCAUUGCAAAUACGUCAGGAAUGGUCUUUUCCAUCCCCUGCAUAUUGAAGUUUAUCACAAAGCUCUUGUAGCUCGGUGGAAGCGACUGAAGGAUUCUGUCAAUGACCGUGUCAUCCGGGAGAUUAACUCCCAGCUGAGUCAAGCGGUUAUGCAACCCAGACAUAAUGAGUAUGUGCUCACUGACAGAACUGUUUUCCUCCAUCUUACAGCUGAAGAACUUGUCGGAGACUUGAUAUCUCUCGACCCGGGCAUGAGCUUGGAAAACCAUUUUCAGCUCUUCGAACAUCUCAUAUGCUCCGUGUCUCUCAAAACGCUUUUGGAGCCCCGGCUCUAAGCUGUAAAGCAUGCCGGACUGAACGAGGGAGUAGUCAUCGGUACGUGCCUGCCAAGCGUUCAUAACGUCUUGUUCUGCAGGGAGAACAGGUGUGUCACCUGGCGGUGCUUGUAGGACAUAAUCUUUCUUGGCAGCUAUGAGGAUGAUCCUCAGGUUUCGGACCCAGUCCGUGUAGUUGCUGCCAUCGUCUUUCAGCUUGGUUUUCUCUAGGAACGCGUUGAAGUUGAGGACUACGUUGGCCAUUUGAUCUACAAGACAUAUUGUAAAUUUUUUAGACUAAGUUCAUGAUAAUUAAGUUCAUCUAAUCAAAUUAUUCAAUGAACUCCCACUUAGAUAGACAUCCCUCCAGUAAUCUAAGUAUAACAUGAUCCGAGUUAACUAGGACGUGUCCGAUCAUCACGUAAGACGGACUAGUCAACAUCGGUGAACAUCUUCAUGUUGAUCGUAUCUUCUAUAUGACUCAUGCUCGACCUUUCGGUCUUCUGUGUUCCGAGGCCAUGUCUGUACAUGCUAGGCUCGUCAAGUCAACCUAAGUGUUUGCAUGUGUAAAUCUGUCUUACACCCGUUGUAUGUGAACGUUGGAAUGAAUCUAACACCCGAUCAUCACGUGGUGCUUCGAAACAACGAACUGUCGCAAUGGUGCACAGUUAGGAGAAACACUUUCUUGAAAUUAUUAUGAGGGAUCAUCUUAUUUACUAUCGUUGUUCUAAGUAAACAAGAUGCAGAAACAUGAUAAACAUCACAUGCAAUCAAAUAGUGACAUGAUAUGGCCAAUAUCACAUAGCUCCUUUGAUCUCCAUCUUGGGGCUCCAUGAUCAUCUUGUCACCAGCAUGACACCAUGAUCUCCAUCAUCAUGAUCUCCAUCACAGUGUCUCCAUGAAGUUGCUCGCCAACUAUUACUUCUACUACUAUGGCUAACACGUUUAGCAAUAAAGUAAAGUAAUUUACAUGGCGUUUCUCAAUGAAACGCAGGUCAUACAAAAAAUAAAGACAACUCCUAUGGCUCCUGCCGGUUGUCAUACUCAUCGACAUGCAAGUCGUGAUUCCUAUUACAAUAGCAUGAGCAUCUCAUACAUCACAUGUAUAUCAUUCAUCAUUCAUCACAACUUUGGCCAUAUCACAUCACAGAACACUUGCUGCAAAAACAAGUUAGACGUCCUCUAAUUGUUGUUGCAAGUUUUACGUGGCUGCAAUAGGGUUCUAGCAAGAACGUUUUCUUACCUACGUGAAAGCCACAACAUGAUUUGUCAACUUCUAUUUACCCUUCAUAAGGACCCUUUUCAUCGAAUCCGCUCCAACUAAAGUGGGAGAGACAGACACCCGCCAGCCACCUUAUGCAACUUGUGCAUGUUAGUCGGUGGAACCGGUCUCACGUAAGCGUACGUGUAAGGUUGGUCCGGGCCGCUUCAUCCCACAAUACCGUUGAAGCAAGAUAAGACUAGUAGCGGCAAGAAAGUUGACAACAUCUACGCCCACAACAAAUUGUGUUCUACUCGUGCAAAGAGAACUACGCAUAGACCUAGCUCAUGAUGCCACUGUUGGGGAACGUUGCAGAAAACAAAAUUUUUCCUACGGUUUCACCAAGAUCCAUCUAGGAGUUCAUCUAGCAACGAGUGAUCGGAUUGCAUCUACGUACAUUGUAGAUCGCGAGCGGAAGCGUUCAAAGAACGGGGAUGAGGGAGUCGUACUCGACGUGAUCCAAAUCACCGGAGAUCCUAGCGCCGAACGGACGGCACCUCCGCGUUCAACAGACGUACGGUCAGCGUAACGUCUCCUUCCUCUUGAUCCAGCAAGGGGCAAGGAGAGGUUGAGGAAGAUGGCUCCAGCAGCAGCACGAUGGCGUGGUGGUGAUGGAGCUGCAGUACUCCGGCAGGGCUUCGCCAAGCUCUAUGGAGGAGGAUGUGUUGGAGAGGGAGAGGGAGGCACCAAAGGCAAAGGUAAGAGGUCCUCCAUCCUCCCCACUAUAUAUAGGGGGGCCUGGGGGGGGGGGCGCCGGCCCUAGGAGAUGCAAUCUCCUAGGGGGGCGGCGGCCAAGGGGUGGGGGACUUGCCCCCAAGCAAGGGGGCGCCCCCCCCUUUAGGGUUUCCCCCACCCUAGGCGCAUGGGCCCUAAGGGAAGUGGCGCCCCAGCCCACUUUGGGCUGGAUCCCUUCCCACUUCAGCCCAUGGGGCNNNNNNNNNNNNNNNNNNNNNNNNNNNNNNNNNNNNNNNNNNNNNNNNNNNNNNNNNNNNNNNNNNNNNNNNNNNNNNNNNNNNNNNNNNNNNNNNNNNNNNNNNNNNNNNNNNNNNNNNNNNNNNNNNNNNNNNNNNNNNNNNNNNNNNNNNNNNNNNNNNNNNNNNNNNNNNNNNNNNNNNNNNNNNNNNNNNNNNNNNNNNNNNNNNNNNNNNNNNNNNNNNNNNNNNNNNNNNNNNNNNNNNNNNNNNNNNNNNNNNNNNNNNNNNNNNNNNNNNNNNNNNNNNNNNNNNNNNNNNNNNNNNNNNNNNNNNNNNNNNNNNNNNNNNNNNNNNNNNNNNNNNNNNNNNNNNNNNNNNNNNNNNNNNNNNNNNNNNNNNNNNNNNNNNNNNNNNNNNNNNNNNNNNNNNNNNNNNNNNNNNNNNNNNNNNNNNNNNNNNNNNNNNNNNNNGGAAGAUGGCUCCAGCAGCAGCACGAUGGCGUGGUGGUGAUGGAGCUGCAGUACUCCGGCAGGGCUUCGCCAAGCUCUAUGGAGGAGGAUGUGUUGGAGAGGGAGAGGGAGGCACCAAAGGCAAAGGUAAGAGGUCCUCCAUCCUCCCCACUAUAUAUAGGGGGGCCUAGGGGGGGGGGCGCCGGCCCUAGGAGAUGCAAUCUCCUAGGGGGGCGGCGGCCAAGGGGUGGGGGACUUGCCCCCAAGCAAGGGGGCGCCCCCCCCUUUAGGGUUUCCCCCACCCUAGGCGCAUGGGCCCUAAGGGAAGUGGCGCCCCAGCCCACUUUGGGCUGGAUCCCUUCCCACUUCAGCCCAUGGGGCCCUCCGGGAUAGGUGGCCCCACCCGGUGGACCCCCGGGACCCUUCCGGUGGUCCCGGUACAAUACCGGUGACCCCGAAACUUGUCCCGAUAGCCGAAAUAGCACUUCCUAUAUAUAAUUCUUUACCUCCGGACCAUUCUGGAACUCCUCGUGAUGUCCGGGAUCUCAUCCGGGACCCCGAACAACAUUCGGGUUACUGCAUAUACAUAUCCCUAUAACCCUAGCGUCACCGAACCUUAAGUGUGUAGACCCUACAGGUUCGGGAGACAUGUAGACAUGACCGAGAUCGCUCUCCGGUCAAUAACCAACAGCGGGAUCUGGAUACCCAUGUUGGCUCCCACAUGCUCCUCGAUGAUCUCAUCGGAUGAACCACGAUGUCGAGGAUUCAAGCAACCCCGUAUACAAUUCCCUUCGUCAGUCGGUAUGUUACUUGCCCGAGAUUCGAUCGUCGGUAUCCCAAUACCUCGUUCAAUCUCGUUACCGGCAAAUCACUUUACUCUUACCGUAAUGCAUGAUCCCGUGACCAGACACUUGGUCACUUUGAGCUCAUUAUGAUGAUGCAUUACCGAGUGGGCCCAGUGAUACCUCUCCGUAAUACGGAGUGACAAAUCCCAGUCUUGAUCCGUGUCAACCCAACAGACACUUUCAGAGAUACCCGUAGUAUACCUUUAUAGUCACCCAGUUACGUUGUGACGUUUGGUACACCCAAAGCACUCCUACGGUAUCCGGGAGUUACACGAUCUCAUGGUCUAAAGGAAAAGAUACUUGACAUUGGAAAACUCUAGCAAACGAACUAUACGAUCUUGUGCUAUGUUUAGGAUUGGGUCUUGUCCAUCACAUCAUUCUCCUAAUGAUGUGAUCUCGUUAUCAAUGACAUCCAAUGUCCAUAGUCAGGAAACCAUGACUAUCUGUUGAUCAACGAGCUAGUCAACUAGAGGCUUACCGGGGACAUGUUGGUGUCUAAGUAUUCACACAUGUAUUAUGAUUUCCGGAUAACACAAUUAUAGCAUGAAUAAAAGACAAUUAUCAUGAACAAGGAAAUAUAAUAAUAAUGCUUUUAUUAUUGCCUCUAGGGCAUAUUUCCAACACUUUCCUCUACGAGGCAUCACCCUUUGUCACUCUUGCCCGCACACCUCCCCUCAAAACGAGAAGGCCGAGCACGGCAUUCGCUCCAUGAACGACAUUAUGCGCACACUCCUCCAAGCUCACAUGCCACCUUCGUUUUGGGUCGACGCCCUCAACACCACCACAUACUUACUGAAUUUCGCCCAUCCCGAGCCAUCGACCACAUCCCACCCUACUACGCCCUCUUUGGUACCUCUCCAGAUUACAGCUCCCUACGCACGUUCGUCUGCCUCUGCUACCAAAACCUCUAUGCCACUAUGCCCUACAAAUUAGCUCCCCGCUCCGUUCGCUGCAUUCUCCUCGGUAUGCCACUUGAGCAUAAAGGCUACAGGUGCCUGGACCUCUCCAAUCGAUGACUCAUUACCUCUAGACAUGUCAUUUUUUGACGAAAACACCUUCCCAUUCAUUGAUGCCCCGAGCGGCCACACGCCUGCACGAGCAGGGUCUGCUCCGGCCGCAGAAAAUCAAGCACCCACCUCCAUCCCCCUCGGAUCACCCACUCCACCAGUCACGCACCACCUCCCAUCCCCAAGCAUGCAGCCCGACCCCACCUCCCAAACCCAUGCAGUGAUUCACCCAUCACCUGCAUGCGGCGCGCCUCCCCUCGUGUCGACUCCACGCCUAGAUGCAGUAGCCCGCCACUUACGCCUCUGCAUGCAGCGCCCCUCACUCUAUGCCGCCCACGCAUGUAGUACGAUCCCACCCUGAGUCGUGCCGAUUUUACCUGCCAAAAACUUGCAUGCCAGGCGCACCUGCGCAAAGUCCAGUUUUCUGCAGCCAAAGAAGCUUCUGACCGUCGCUACCUCUCCCGCCCCCAUCUCUCCUAUUCCCGCAAACUACAAAGAAGCUCUCAAAGACCCCAACUGGUACAAUGUUAUGCUUGAAGAAUUUAACGCUUUGUUGCAAAGCAAAACGUGGUCUUUGGUUGCUUGCUCUGCAGGUGUCAACUUGGUGUCUGGGAAGUGGAUAUUCCGCCACAAGCUUCAUCUCGACGGCUCCCUCGCUCGGUACAAGGCGUGUUGGGUACUUCGUGGCUUCACAAAGCAGCCUGGCAUUGACUACGGGGAGACCUUCAGCCCCGUGUGGUGAAACCGGCCACCAUCCGCGUCAUCCUCAGUGUCGCCAUCAGUAACCGUUGGGCCAUUAACCAGCUGGACAUGAAGAACCCCUUCCUCCACGGCACUCUCGAUGAGCUCGUCUACAGUCAGCCGCCGGCUAGCUUCGUCGACACCGCACACCCCUCGACCAUGUGCAAACUCCAAAAGUCCUUGUAUGACUUAAGCAGGCUCCUCGUGCGUGGUUCCAGCGGUUCACCACAUUCCUUCUCUCGCUCGGCUUCACGGUGUCAAGAUCCGACACAUCCCUAUUUAUUCUCCGCCGUGGCACCUCAGUGGCAUACCUCUUGCUAUAUGUUGACGAUAUCAUUCUCACCGCUAGCUCCUCCGGGUUACUCACCAUCGUUACCGCCGCUCUCACCUCUGAGUUCUCCAUGGCGAACCUCAGCUCGCUCCACCACUUCCUUGGCGUCAAUGUUCAGUGCAGCCCCACUGGUUUGUUUCUUUCCGAGCAACAGUAUGCGCUCGAGAUCCUUGAUCGCGCCUCCAUGCUCAACUGCAAACCCAUCACUACCCCCGUCGACACCAAAGCAAAGCUCGCCACCUCGCCACCUCAGCUAACGACUCUGCUCCUGACCCAUCCCUCUUCCAUAGUCUCGCCGGUGCCCUGCAGUACCUCACGCUCAUGCGCCCGGACAUAGCCUACACCGUCCAGCAGGUGUGCCUCGUCAUGCACUCGCCGCGCAUGCUACACGCCGCCCUCCUCAAAUGUAUCAUGCGUUAUCUGCGUGGUACCACCCACCUUGGCCUUCAUAUUCGUCUGUCUGCUUCAUCCCAGCUCAUGUCUUACACAGACGCCGACUGGGCCGGUUGUCCCGACACCGUACCUGACGCUCGAUGUCUGGCUACUACAUGUACAUCGGUGACAACCUCGUCUCCUGGUCUUCGAAGCGACAAACCACCUUGUCGCGAUCGAGUGCGGAGGCAGAGUACCGAGCUGUCGCCAACGCGGUCACGGAGUCGUGUUGGCUACGAAGCUUCUUCAGGAUAUCGGAUGGCCUCCAUGGUGCUACCACUGUUUACUGAGACAACGUAUCGGUGACUGAAGGAAAUAUGCCCUAGAGGCAAUAAUAAAGUUAUUAUUUAUUUCCUUAUAUCAUGAUAAAUGUUUAUUAUUCAUUCUAGAAUUGUAUUAACGGAAACAUAAUACAUGUGUGAAUACAUAGACAAACAGAGUGUCACUAGUAUGCCUCUACUUGACUAGCUCGUUGAUCAAAGAUGGUUAUGUUUCCUAACCAUAGACAUGAGUUGUCAUUUGAUUAACGGGAUCACAUCAUUAGGAGAAUGAUGUGAUUGACUUGACCCAUUCCGUUAGCAUAGCACUUGAUCGUUUAGUUUGUUGUUAUUGCUUUCUUCAUGACUUAUACAUGUUCCUAUGAUUAUGAGAUUAUGCAACUCCCGUUUACCAGAGGAACACUUUGUGUGCUACCAAACGUCACAACGUAACUGGGUGAUUAUAAAGGUGCUCUACAGGUGUCUCCGAAGGUACUUGUUGGGUUGGCGUAUUUCGAGAUUAGGAUUUGUCACUCCGAUUGUCGGAGAGGUAUCUCUAGGCCCUAUCGGUAAUGCACAUCACUUAAGCCUUGCAAGCAUUGCAACUAAUGAGUUAGUUGCGGGAUGAUGUUUUACGGAACGAGUAAAGAGACUUGCCGGUAACGAGAUUGAACUAGGUAUUGAGAUACCGACGAUCGAAUCUCGGACAAGUAACAUACCGAUGACAAAGGAAAUAACGUAUGUUGUUAUGCGGUCUGACCGAUAAAGAUCUUCGUAGAAUAUGUGGGAGCCAAUAUGAGCAUCCAGGUUCCGCUAUUGGUUAUUGACCGGAGACAUGUCUCGGUCAUGUCUACAUAGUUCUCGAACCUGUAGGGUCCGCACGCUUAAAGUUUCGGUGACGAUUGUAUUAUGAGUUUAUGUGAUUUGAUGUACCGAAGGUAGUUUGGAGUCCCGGAUGAGAUCGGGGACAUGACGAGGAGUCUCAAAAUGGUCGAGACGUAAAGAUCGAUAUAUUGGACGACUAUAUUCGGACAUCGGAAAGGUUCCGAGUGAUUCGGGUAUUUUCGGGAGUACCGGGAGUUACGGGAAUACGAGGAAGAAGUAAUGGGCCUCAUGGACCAAGUGGUGGAAGAGAGGAGGCAGGGCGCGCGGCCCUCCUAGCCCAAACCGAAUUGGACUAGGGGGCCGGCCCCCCUUUCCUCCUUUUCCUCCUUCUCCUUCCUUCUCCUUCUCCUCCUUCCUUUCCUCCUCCUAGUAGGAGUAGGAAAGGGGAGUCCUACUCCUACUAGGAGGAGGACUCCUCCUCCUGGCGCGCCCAUAGAGGGCCGGUCGGCCUCCCCCCUUGCUCCUUUAUAUACAGGGGCAGGGGGGCACCUCUAGACACACAAGUUGAUCUUCGUGAUCGUUCCUUAGCCGUGUGUGGUGCCCCCUUCCACCAUAUUCCACCUCGGUCAUAUCGUAGCGGUGCUUAGGCGAAGCCCUGCGUCAGUAGAACAUCAUCACCGUCAUCACGCCGUCGUGCUGACGAAACUCUCCCUCAACACUCGGCUGGAUCGGAGCUCGAGGGACGUCACCGAGUUGAACGUGUGAGAACUCGGAGGUGCCGUACGUUCGGUACUUGGAUCGGUCGGAUCGGGAAGACGUACGACUACUUCCUCUACGUUGUGUCAACACUUCCGUUGCUGGUCUACGAGGGUACGUAGACGACACUCUCCCCUCUUAUUGCUAUGCAUCACCAUGUUCUUGCGUGUGCGUAGGAAAUUUUUUGAAAUUACUACGUUAUCCAACAAUGACGUACCUCUCCACCAACCCGGUACAACACCAACGCACCAAGCACGUGGAGAUUGAUCUUCAUUUCGUGCGCGACCGCGUUGUCUUCGGAGAUGUUCGUGUUCUGCAUGUUCCGGCAACCUCCCAGUUUGCCGACGUUUUCACCAAGGGGAUACCAACCGGCGUCUUGACAGAGUUCCGGUCCAGCCUCAAUGUCGUCGAAGACCCCGUUGCGGCUGUGGGGGGCUGCUGGAAUUGUAAAACGCCUCCUGCAUGUACAUUACCGGGUCCCUCGGCUGGACAGAUCGGCUCGCGCAAGUAGCAUGGGACACCUGCGUCUGUUACACACGAUCCCCUUCUCCGUUGCUUGUAGCUGCUGUACCUAGGCGUAUAUAUAUAACUCUGUACAAUCUGGAAUAGACACGGUGAAGAUCACCUUUCAACUGUUCGCACUGUGCGGCCAAACCUUGUUUGGCUGGGACUGACAAAUGAAAAUGAUGCACCCGAGCACAUCCAGAAGGAUCUGAACGCUCGCAGUCCAAACCAGCUUAUCGGCAUUGGUACAGAGUUGAGGCAAAACCGAGCAGUGAAGCAAGCUCCAGCAUUUUCAACAUGAAGGAAACGAAAAAGACGAAACAGGCUCCAACAUUCUCGUCAAAAAAGAUAAGAAAAGGAAAAAAGAAACAGGCUCCAGCAUUCUUGACACAAAAGAAAUGAAGAAGGAAAACGAAACAGGCUCAGGCAUUCUUGACACAAAAGAAAAGAAAAAGGAAAAGGAGAAAGGCUCCAAUAUUCUUGACAAAAUAGAGAAGCAAAAGAAAAAGGAAUCAGGCACAAGCAUCCUCGACACAGAAGAAAAGAAAAGGGAAAAGGAAAUUGGAUCCAGCAUUCUCGAUAAAAAGGAAGAGAAACAGGAAACAGGUUCAACCAUUCUCGACAAAAAGGAAAAGAAAAAGAAAACAGGCUCCGACAUUUUGGACAAAAGAGAAAAGAACAAGGAAACGAAAACAGGCUCCAGCAUUGAUCUCGACAAGAAAGAAAAGAAAAAAAUUUGAAAAGCAAGCUCCGUCAGAACGGUAACAGUAGCACCAAUGCUAAAGAAGAGCAAAUUGAACAGUAGCACCAAGGUGAAGGAAGCUCAAGACCGAUGAGAUGUCCUGGUUUCUAUAUAUCCAAUUAAUAUACCAUAUUUUAAUUAUUGUAACAAUAUGAUUGUAUUUUUUGUGAUGUAAUGAGUCGUUUGAUUCGAACCUCUGUUUGUUCAGUUUCUGCUUGCUGCUGUUGUAAUCACAAACCGUCAUGUCAAAUAAAUGGAGUGAAUAGCAAAAAACUACCAUAUUACGGGCUAUCGUUCCGGAAAACUAUCGCUUGUUUUAAUUUUUCAAAAAACUACCACAAAAGUGGCUGGCUGUUCCAAAAAACCCAAGUGGCCGAACGGUUAAGUUUUAACUGGGGUUAUGACAUGUGGGGCCCGCCCGUCAGGGUUUUGUCGGCCACAGUGCUCACGGCGCGCGGGUGACGGCCGUUAGGGCGCACGGCCCGUCCCGACGAGGUCAAAAUGGAUCCGGCCCUCACUCUGUCUCCCUCUCGCUCACUCACUCUCUCCCCCCUCACUCUCACUCUCCCCCCUCGCUCUGUUUCCCCUGGCCGAGCUCUCCAUCGUCGCUGACCACCUCAGUUCCUCGUCGCCGGCCAGGAUGCCUUCUUGGAAUGAUGGGGAUGAGAGCUCCGACGAUAGCAUGGGGGGCAACCUGAUGGACAUGGAGUACUUUGUAAGCCUCAUCGUCCUCCUCUCUGUCAUUAUCUAGGGUUAGGGUUGAAUCGAUUUGGGAAUGAGGGUUGAUGAGCUGUAUAUUUGUAUGCAUGGAUUCAUUUGGUUUGGUUAUCUAUUAGUUUUGAUCUAGGGUAUGGAUGGCACUGUGAUGUCUGAUCUGACCUUGAGCAAGGCAAAGCUUGACUCAAGUUGAACUAGUUGAUGCAUUGGUUCUGAUCUACCUUUUACUGCAUGUAGGACACACCUGACACCAUCCCUGAGCCACUCUGGUGUGGUGCUCCCAUGGAGGAAGUUGCCAAGUGUACUCUGCAUGAUAUGAAGCCUAGGAAGUGUGUUGCUUUUGAAGGUGCUAAGACUGGGAGGAGGUUCUAUGGAUGCCCUGUUCAGGUGAGUAAUUGAGUAUCCUGGGUGGAUUCAGUUAUGCCUAGUGGAUUCAGUUAUUCCUAGUGGUUACUGAAUUUGUACAUUAACUCUAUUUGAACUGAAUUUAGUACUGAAUUUAUGGUUACAUGUCCUCCUUGUGUACCAACCCUCUUUUUGAAUUGAAGUUAGAACUGAAUUUCUGCAUUUUCUGAAGUAUGUGUUCUCUGAUCAAACUACAGGGAGGUGUGAAUUGUGGUGUAGUUCAGUGGGUUGAUCCUGCCUGGCCUGAUGUACUUAAGAACUGCCUCAUCAAGUUGUGGGAAAUGUUCCAUGAGCAAAACCUUGGAAGGUUUCAAGACAAGCAUGCAUAUGAGGAUGAGGUUGCCAAGUUGAAGAAGGACUAUGAUCUGCUCUGCACUGAGUAUCAUAAAAUGGUUGAUGAUGUUAGCAAGAUGUUUGACUGGCAUGAUGGUGUUGGCAAGAUUGACUACCAAAAAGCAAUGGAUGCUGGGAAAUUUGAGAAGCAGAAGGAAGAGCUAGAGCUGGAGAUGAAGAUGGAGAAGCUAAGGCUAGCAAAAGAACAGAGGUGUAUCCUUCAGGCCCAGGCAGACAUAAUUCACAACACCAGGAAGGCAAUGAAAGAGAUAAAGGUGGACAGGGAUCUUUUUGCACAAGAGAAGACAAAGCUUGAGAAAGUAGUUGCUGAUCUGCUAAAUGCUGGCCAUGGGAGCAAGGAAAAGCUUGAGAAAAUCAAGGCCAUACUGGAGGCUUGAAGAUUUGGACAAUGGUGGUUAAGUAAGUAAGGUGGCCUACACAUAUAACAGGCCUUGCAAGAUGAUGGUAGGAGUAUAUUUUGUGCAGUCCUAUAUGAACUAUUUAAGUUAUGGUAACUAGAGUGGUGGAGAACCUUUGCUAAGUCUGGCUUAUGUUAUUGUACUGUUAAGAACCUAUCUAUCUUAAGUAAUGCAGUGAAGAACUGUUUUAUUUCUUUAGGUUGUUUUCCUGAAAGUAGCAAUGCUGAACUAGUAUAUUUUUGGGCCUAAAACCAUUAUGUACACAUUGUGGGCCUAGACUGGGCUGUUUUAUUACUCCACCUACCUACCACCAACCAUUAGUAGUCUAUAAAGCCCACCCCUUGAGUGAAACCGCAGUCAAUCCCCCCAUCCCCACCCUUCUCAACCCCCCAGCCGCCAAAGAAACCCUAGAAUCCAAGGGAGAGAUGGAUCCUGGAGAGGUCAUAGAUGGAGAAGAAGAGGUGCCCAGACAAGCCAGGCGCAGAGAUGCAAGGAGGAGGGCGAGAAGGCAACUUGCUGAGAUGAUCCUUGCAACACGCAACCGCAAGGACAUAAAGCAGUUCCUGGAGGCAUUCCCCCCUGGUUCCAACCCUAGUGAUGAUGAUAUCAUCUACUGGGCAAGGAGGAGGGCAAAUUUCCAUCCCUUUUAGGUCACUAGGCAAAGGUGGACUAGGAUUUUGUACCCAUGAUGCUGCUGUUAUGUUUCUUUGUUCCUAGAUCUGUCUUUCUAUCUAUGUGAUGUUUGAAGUUGGUGUAAGAACAAUGUUGAAUGAGCUAUGUAUGUGACGAAUCAAGUUGUCCAUGAUGCAAUGCAAUGUAUGAAGCUGGUGAAAGAAAAAUGUUGAAUGAUCUAUCUAUGUGAUGAAUCAAUCUGUCUAUGAUGCAAUUUAUGAGUGAAUCUUUUAUCUAUAUUUGUAUGUAUGAAUGAAUUGAUCUGGUGAUCUUGAUGUUUUAAGUUAGAUAUGUUAUGGUUUGUUCAGAUGGCCAUAUCUUGUUGUUUUAGGUUUGAUCUCUUAGGGUUUGGUGCCUAGAUGGGAAAAUCUUGAUGUUUUAGCUUUGAUAUGUUAGGUUUUGGUCCUAGAUAGCCACUUUGGGGUUGGUCAACAAGUAGCCACCCAAAGUGGCCAAAUUUGGGUGGCUUUAGGGUUGGUCGACAAGUUCCACCCCAAAGUGGCCAAAUGUGGCCACUUUGGGGUUGGUCGACAAGUAGCCCCCCAAAGUGACCAAAUUGACCUAAUCAUAUCAAUCAAUUAUCAACAAAAUAAAUCACUUGAUCUACAUAACAAUGCUCAGCAUAAGAAAUAAUUUCAUAUGAAACAAUUCAUAACCUAGGACAUAUCAAAUCAAAAUAAAGCUUGACAACAGAUAACUUAAUUGUUCCAAGCAGUUCAAACACAGACCAUAUAACUUAAUUGUUCCAAGCAGUUCAUACAUAGACCACAUAACUUAAUUGUUCAAAUGAAAAAAAAGUUCACUGCAAAUAACACAGAUAGCAAGCAUGCCUAGCAAGUAGAGUUCAAGGCAUAAAGCAUAGUUGAGUGCAACACAUUCAAUGGUUGCCACUGGCUGUGAAAUACAAAGCAAGUUUGCUUGGGGCCUUCCUCUUCCUCUUAGAACCAACAUCAGCUUGACCUGAUGUUGAUGCUGCCCUUGGAGCAUUGAAACCUCUUGCACUUGACCUGGUGUUCUUUACUGGAGAUGAUGCACUUGACCUGGUGUUGUUGGCUGGUGCUGAAGCAGGUGGUGGGUUCUUUCUCUUUCUUGAUCCACCUGUUGAAACUGCAGUAGAUGUGGUUGCCCUUGUUGUAGCAGAUGUGGUUGACCUUGUUGAAGUUGUUGCUAGUUUCCUGCCCCUAAGUGGUCCUAAAGCUGGAGCUGGACCUGAAGCUGGAGCUGGACUUGAAGCUGGAGCUGGACCUGAUGAUGUGGCCUGGUGGUUGUUUUUCCUUGUCAUAAACUUGGCCUUAAGUCCGUCUCCAUAGAUUGUCCACCUGUGGCCUUGCAGACCACAGUUACUGCAUGUUAUUGUGCCCAUCCUUGAUGUAUCCUUUGGAGCUGGCACCUCAAAUUCACCCUUUCUCCUAGCUGUCUGCUUCUUGCCUUUCUUCUCCCUGAAAACUGGUGGUUCUAUGUCUGGUGUGUUGGUGUUGGGCCAGAAUUCAGGGCCAGGGACAGGGUAGAUGAUGUGCUGGUAUGCAGCCUUAUACAUUGGCUUCUUAAAGAAUGGAUGCACAUAAUCUUCUGGGUGAACUUUUAUCUUCUGCAUUGCAGAUAUUGCAUGGUGGCAAGGUGAUCCAGUCAUGUCCCACCUCCUGCAAGAGCAGCUCCCUACAUCAAGCUUCACACAAUAUGUGUUCUCUCCACUAGUUACUUGCCAGAUGUUGGGACCAGCCAUGUUUGCUUCACAGUAUUUAGCCCACUUCUUGCUCUCCUCAAGCUUCUCCAUGUAAUCUGGGGUUAUUUCCCACCUACAGCUCUCUGUUUUCUCUCUGAUGCCCUGGUACUUAACCAUUAGUUUGGUCCUCAACCCUUCAAACAUGGUCUUAAUUAGUUUUGACCUAACAUCUAGAAUCAUUUUUUUGAAAACCUCACUAAGGUUGUUCACUACCAAGUCAGUCUUGCACACAUGAUCCAUUGCAUAUCUAGCCCAACACUCCUUAGGGAUGCCAUUCAACCACAUGUAGGCUGGUUCACAUGCUGCUUUCAAACCUGCCAUUCCUUCUUUGUGACCAUGUUUAGUGAAGGAAUAGCUAGCUUUGUCAACCCAUUUCUUAAGUUCUUCUGCUCUAAAGCCAGCUGACUGGAAGUUGGCAUAUAUGUGUCUUAGGCAAUAUCUUUGUGGGGAUUGAGGAAAUACUUCAUUAAUUGCUUUAAGAAGGCCCUGUUGUUUGAUUACAUAAGGUAGUAAUGAGAUAACUAUAGCAGCAUUGCUAUGUGCAUAAGAAUAAUACAGAGCCAGAGAAAAUACCUUCUGCCUGUCAGACAUGAUGGUGUAGUUUCCAAACUGGUUGCUGGUGCCAAUGCAGACUCUAAGUUGGUUUAAAAACCAGGUCCAGCUAGGCCCAUCCUCUUUGUCAACCACCCCAAAAGCAAUUGGGAACACAUUGUUGUUCCCAUCUCUCCCAGUUGCUACCAAUAUCUGUUGGCCUGUGGAUAACUUGAUGAAGCAACCAUCAAGUCUUGCAUAAACAGAGAUAGUUAGGGCAAAAUUGAAUAACUUGAUUACAUUUGUAACAUGAUUAAAUCACUGAUUUGUACCUAUGAAAGGCCUACAACCAGCAAGAAAUCCAUCUUUUGAUGCCUGGAGGCAAUAGAACAUGUACUUGAACCUUGGUGUGGGGGCUGGGUUCAAAGGAUCCUCAAAAGUUGUCACUAUGCACCUGCUUCCAGGGUUUGUGUCAAGCACACAUUGUAGGUAGUCCCUCAACCUCAGAUACUGCUUUCUAUGAUCACCUUGCACAACAUCAACAGCCAUCAGUCUUGCCCUAUAUGCCAAACUCCUAGGUACAUGCACCCCAAACUUCUUCUUAGUAUGUUUGAGAACUGUCUCUACAUCAGCCUUUACAUUUGAUCUAACUGUGUCCUCCACAGCUUCUGCAACCCAUUCAGCAGUAACCUUUGUACUCUCUCCACAAGCUCCACAACUAUGAUCCAUGUGGCACUUCUUGAUUGUGAAUGUAUCUUCAUGGGCUACUUUGGAUGCAGUCAUGAAAAAAUCACAUCCAUUCUUCCUCUCUGGGCACCAAACAAUAACCCUUGAUGGUUCAUUCCUAUGGUACUGAAAGUUUCUCAAAGUCCUAACAUGAAAAUUUCUCAAUGCCUUUCUAAACUCAUACACAUUGGUGAAGCAAAGGUCCUUGCACAGCUGCUCAUGUGCAUCAGGUACCUUUGGGUCAUACCAUUUCCUCUCUUUCUUCUUCUUCAAUCUUCUCUUCCUUCCAGAAGGUAGUCUUGGAGUCUCCCCAUCUGAGUCAGAAAUGCCCAUAUCACCAGGGAAGCAAUACUCAUCAGCUUCAAGUACAAAAUCUUGAAACUUUGGGAUCUCUGGCUGACUGUGAGCUCUGGAAGUUGGACCUGGAUUUGCUACUGCUCUUCUCACAGGCUUGAGUUUCUCAGGCCUGCAUUUUUCCACAACUAUUUCCUCUCCACUGUCUGCCUCUUUCUCCUCCUGCCAAAACUCUGAAACAUCACUGUCACCUUCAAACUGUGGUCUGUCUUCUAUAGCAUCUCUUUCUUCUUCAUUUCCAAUAUUUUCUUCACCUCUCUUCCAAGCCUUGUAAGACAUCUUUAUCCCUCUAUAGUCACCCCUAUCAAUCUCAAAGUCUGAGGAUGAUUUGUCAAUAUCAUCAUCCUCUUGACCAGCAGCCUGUCCAUCAUCAUCUCCACCAUUAGCUUCUGAAAUGUUGAAGUUACAGCUUUGCUGUGUGUUCAAAUUAACUUCAAGAGGGUGGACCACUCCAUCUUGUGACAGACUUAACACAAAACCAGGACCCCCCAGUGGGUUGCCUAUUGGAAUUUGUUCUUCACAAACAUUGUGAGCCCUGUUACAUUCAACAUCUCUAUCUUCAUUUGCCUUGGAAACAAUGAUAUUGAGCACUGUGAAAUCUAAGUGGUCUAUCAUUUCUUCAACUGCAUCUUGACUGUCCAAAAGAAAUAAACCUUCCUGUCCAAUCCCUUGUUCUUUUACCCAGUACAUGUAGUCAUCUGACCCAUAGCCUUCAGUCUCAGUAAGUGCUAUCAAGUUCAGAAAUGUGAUGUCUGAAACAGAAAACCUCCUUUCCAUAUUAUCUCUGCCCUGGAAAUGCAGCCUAACAUCCCAAACUUCAUCAUCUAGCCUGCAUUACAUAAUAUGUUAUUUGAAAAGCCCAACUAAGUAAGUGUUUUUGCUACAAAUAUUCAGUGCACACUACUAUAAAGUACAGUAAGGAAUCUGAAUCCAAAAAAUGCUUCUCUGAAUCCACCAUGCAUUUCUACUAAAUCUAACUAAUCCUUCAGUGCUAAGUGAUACUGUUGCAUCCAAAACAUGCCACAGAGUGUUUGCUCAACUAUUAUUCAGUGCAUGUUCAUGUUCUAAGAUGAAUCACAGCAGCAUCAACCUAGGGUUUGGUCAAAAAACUAACUAAAUUAUGCUAUGUUAUUUGAAAUGAACAAGCAGAAAUGCAGAAACUGUUGAAGGAGCUCAUAAGAGGAAAAAAACUUACUCCACCCCUCCAAAUGCAGAGGCCCAGUGCUGGGAGUUGGCCGGAUCUGCCUGCACAGCCCUAUCAAGAGACCUCGCUGCUCUGUACUCAAGCGAGAACUGGCAAUCAUCAGGCGACGGUGGUGUAGCCUGUGUCGUAGGAGCCUGCAUCAGAGCUGCAGCCUGUGGUGUCCGCUGCGGCGGCGGCGGCGCCGCCGGCUAGGUUGCGAAGCUACCACUCCCCAGCCAGUUAUCAACCUCUAAGAACUCGCCGCCUCCAUCCCCCCUUCCACCUCCACCCGUUGAAUGGCCGCCAUCGCCUAGUUUCGCCGCCGCCGCCGCCAUCGGAGAGGGAGGCGCGCACAAGAGAGAGGGAGACAGAGAGGGGGAAGACAGAGUGAGGGCGGGCCGGAUCCAUUUGACUUGGUCGGGACGGCCCGUGUGCCCUAACGGCCGUCACCCGCGCGCCGUGAGCACUGUGGCCGACAAAACCCUGACGGGCGGGCCCCACAUGUCAUAACCCCAGUUAAAACUUAACCGUUCGGCCACUUGGGUUUUUUGGAACAGCCAGCCACUUUUGUGGUAGUUUUUUGAAAAAUUAAAAAAAGCGGUAGUUUUCCGGAACGAUAGCCUGUAAUGUGGUAGUUUUUUGCUAUUUACUCCAAAUAAAUGCUUAAAAAGAGUGCAUCUAAUGGAGUAGUACAAAAUGGUAAAGAAAAUAAAUCAGCCACUAAUGGAGUAACAAAGGUGAUAGCACGGAGUUUGGUAGGCACCGACAAUGAGUAAGCAGGCUGAGGCCACCGGUGCACGAAGAGGAUCAGAAGCGCUGGUUGGGGCUGUGGUUUGGGGCGGCUGCGAUGAAACUUCUUAUUCAACGCUUAUAGCACCGUUUACAGUGUUAUCGGUACCUUUUUUUUGAGGGAAAGAGCCAACUUUAUUAAUCAAAAUCCACAGUGCGUGGGACACAACGAUGGUCAUGGGGCUGGCCAAGCCACACAUGACGCCCUGGUGGUAGCGAUAAAGAAAACCUAGCUAUCUCGUGAGCUUCAGCAUUCUGAGCUCGACUCUCAAAGGUGAAAUUACAUAAAAGUGGUGAUGAGCUCAUCUUUAUCUCUCUGAUUAUAGCUCCAUAAGUGCCAUGACUACCCAUAGCAAUGUCGCCAAUGACUUGUUUGCAGUCCGAAGCCACCACAAAACGUUGCACAUUAAGAUCUUGUGCUAGGGAAAUAGCCUCCCGACAUGCUAUGGCCUCCAGUGUCGCGGGGUCGCAAACUCCGACAAUGACAAGUGAUGAGCUCCCCAUAUAGACACCCUGGCUGUCACUGCAUAUGGCCGCGGCCGUGCCACCCCUCUGAAAUCUUACUGCCACGUCAACAUGAACCUUAGCAUAGCCAGCAGGUGGAGCCUUCAGCCUCUGAGUAGAAGCGUGGCCAGUAGCUGCAGAACGUACGUUGAUCUUUGCAGGGAGUGAGGCAGUAGCCAAAUCAGCCAUGAAGCGAGUUAUAAACUCCUUCGUCGCCCUGGGUGAUUGGAAUAUUGAUUCAUGGAUAGCUUUUCUCCUCGAGGUCCAGAUCGCCCAUAAGGUGACCGCCAGCAGAGUGAACUUCUCAUGUGUUAGCAUAUCCAUUAAUCCAAAGAGCCAGCUCUUCGCCCUCGUCUCCGUUGAUGCGACCAGACUGCAGCCCAAGUCCUCAUCUACCAACGCCCAUAUGCAUCUGGAGACUGUGCACUCCAGGAGGGAAUGACUCCAUGAAUCAGGAGAACCGCAGAGGCCGCACGAGCUAGUCGUUGACAUAUUACGAUGGGCCCUCACAUCCUCCGUCGGUAGUGACUGUUUUGAUAAACGCCAUAGAAACAUGCGUACUUUUGCUGGUACCACAGUUUUCCAGAGGGACUUCCAAGAGGCUUCAUCGACAUGGUUGCUGGAUGAUGCGCCGGAGCCCUCUAGCCACGCCUCUCGCCGUUGCUUCAUAGAUACCAACAUAUUAUAGGCUGACCUGACUGUGAAUUGUCCGGUUCUCUCGUGCAUCCAGCUCCAAAAGUCCUGCAUAGGAGCCGUACACAACGGGAUACCCAUGAUGAUUUUAGCAUCGAAAGGCAAGAAAGUUGCUUCCACCACAGAUCUCUUCCAUGAAGCAUUAGUUGCAUCGAUCAGUUCAGAUACUGUGUUGGGAGGAUUACUUACGCAACAACCAUACGGUCUCAUCAUCUCUGACCGGGGAAGCCAGUUUUCGGUCCAAAUGCUGGUGCUCGCCCCAUCUCCUAUCCGCUUGAUCAGUCCCAAUUUAAGAAUAUCCCGGCCUUCCACUAUGGCUCUCCAUAUCUGACUUGGAUGGUUCCCAAGUGUUGCCUCAAGUAUAGAUGUAUGUGGAAAAUAUACGCUCUUCAGAAUCCGUGCACUCAGAGACUCGGGGUCUUGUAACAUUCUCCAUGCCUGCCUGGCUAACAUGGCAAGAUUGAAAAGCUCAAAAUCUUUGAAUCCAAGGCCUCCCAUGCUUUUUGGUUGUGUCAUUGCUUCCCAAGAGACCCAGUGAGGUUUGCGUUGGCCGUUUGAGCUCCCCCACCAAAAUUUCCUUAUUAGCAUAUUGAGGUGCUCACAUAACCCCCUAGGUAGUUUGAAACAAGACAUGGAAAAUACCGGCACUGACUGGGCAACAGAUUUGACUAGUACCUCUUUUCCUGCCGCCGACAAAGUUCUCUCUAUCCAUCCCUGAAUUUUGCUCCAUAAUCUGUCCUUCAAAUAUUUGAAGGCACCGUUUUUUGAACUCCCUAUAUCAGAUGGCAUGCCCAGAUACUUCUCAUUCAAGGUUUCCUUGGGGACAUUGAACAUACCUUUUAUAGCAUUGCGAGUUUCCUCAGAAACGCCUUUACUAAAGAAAAUUGAGGAUUUGUUGUAGUUGAUUCUUUGACCUGAAGCUUGGCUAUAAAUUUCCAACAACUGGUUAACCUCUGUAGCACCCGCACUGUUGGCCUUGAAGAACAGCAGGCUGUCAUCAGCGAAUAGAAGAUGGUUAACUAGUGGUGCCUGCAGCGCCACCUGAAUCCCACCCAAGUUUGAUGACUCACUUUGUGAUUUGAAAAGGCACGACAUGCCCUCUGCUGCUAACAAGAACAAGUACGGUGAUAUUGGGUCACCUUGUCGGAUUCCACGUGAUGGGUUGAACUCCUCAAGUUUCUUUCCAUUGAACAUGACUGCGAAUUUUACUGAGGUAACCAUGCCCAUUACAAUAUCCACCCACCUUCUGUUAAAACCCAAUAUAAUCAUGAUGGCUUAGAGAUAAGCCCAUUCAACUCGAUCAUACGCCUUCAUCAUAUCCAAUUUCAGAGCACAUGAGUGAUUUUUCUUUUCCUUGUUCCUCUUCAUGAAAUGCAAUCACUCAUAUGCCGUUAUUAUGUUGUCUGUGAUCAAUCUCCCCGGAACAAAGGCUGAUUGUUCAGCAGAAAUUAUAUCUGGCAGUAUCUGUUUGAGUCUGUUGGAGAUUACCUUGGACGCUAUUUUAUAGAGCACGUUACAUAAACUUAUGGGCCGAAACUGGGCAAGGAGUGUGGGGUUUUUGACCUUGGGGAUGAGAACCAGCACCGUAUUGUUAAUGCAUGCUGCUGACUCUGUCCCGUCCACAAUUUUGAGUACCACUUUCGUUACAUCUGCACCGCAUACAUCCCAGUGGCGCUGAAAGAAGUGAGCGGGGAAUCCAUCCGGGCCAGGGGCUUUGAUUGGAAACAUUUGGAACAACACACUUUUCACUUCAUCGUGUGUGUAAGGAGCAUUCAGACGAUCGUUCAUUGCCUGCGUUACUUUAGUAGAUACUGACUCCAGUACCCUAUCCAUGCCCUGUACUCCCUCGGUUGUGUAUAAGUUUUUGUAAAAUUCGGUGGUAAGCUCCUCCAUCUCCUCCCUGUCCUCGGUCAGCUAUCCAUCCGAUCGCUGCAACAAUUUUAUCUGGUUCUUCCGGCGGCGGCGGCUCGCUCGCAGGUGAAAAGAAUAAGUGUUUUUGUCACCAUGGACCAGCCAAUCCAGUCGAGCGCGUUGGCGCCACAUCAAUUCCUCUCUAUCAAACAGUUCGACCAGUCUGUCAGCUAUCUUGGUUUCAGUGUUUGUCGGUCCCGUCCGUCCUGGCGCUGAACGCAUGACCUCAAGCUGGCGUUGGAGUUGGCGAAUCUCCAUACGCACCGAUCCGAAGUUGUUGCGGUCCCACGCUGACAAAUCUCCCGCCAGGUUCCCUAGUUUUGCAUGUAUGCCCUCAACCGAUUCUCCAUCCUGCAGACUCCAGCUAUCACGCACAGUGUCAAACAGUGUUUCGUCCCUUUCCCACAUCGUCUCAUAUUUAAAAGCCUUGUGGCCCAUUUUGCAUGCAUGCAACUCACGUAGCUGAAGAAGAAUAGGAAUGUGAUCUGAACUAGCAGCACUUUUGUGCGAUAGCUGUGAUGAUGCGAGGGCGAGAGUCCAUUCUGUAUUUACCAGGCACCUGUCCAGCCUAACCUGGGUGUAGGUGCCUCCUGUGACCCUUUUUUCAAAUGUCCAACUAGUGCCAGAGUAUCCAAUAUCUGAUAACCCACAUGUAUCAACUGCUUCCCUGAAUGCUUCUAUUUGGGCUUGGCUUCGUUGUCCCACACCAUCAUGUUCAUGGCUGUGAAGAACCUCAUUAAAAUCUUCCAUGACUGCCCACGGUCUGUUCUGCGUCUCAGCAAUACCGCGCAGGGUGUCCCAUGUUUUGUAUCUCUCUGGUACCUGGGCUUCGCCAUAGACAAAGGUAAUUCUUACCUGCAAAUCAACUAAGUCAUCAACAAGAAUAUCAAUGUGAUACUUUGAGUAAUCGAUAACUUCCACUUUUAUUUCAUCGUUCCAAAAAAUUCCAAGUCCACCACUUCUACCGGAACUACUAACUGCAAAGCUUUUAUUGUAGCCUAUGCUAUCAGCCAUACUCUCAACCCUCUUUCCCUCUAUUUGAGUUUCAAGAAUACAAACAAUAGAGGGGGCAAACUGCCUCGCUAGAUCGUGAAGCUCUCUAACUGUCGCGGCUUUGCCAAUCCCGCGAAAGUUCCAGCAAAGAAGACUCAUUGCGCUAGGCGCGGCCCCGCUUCGGAGCCCGCCACAUGCGCAUCAGGGUUUUUGGUAGAAACUGUGCUCUUCUCCAGAGCUGACUCAUUAGACGAGGUUGACUUCAAUCUUUUCAGAUCCUGCUUGGGAGGAGGGCUAAGGGGCACCGCAGGUGAUGGCAGAAACAGUUGCUUCGUCUGUUGUACCGAAUAGGUUGGGAACGUGGUUUUUGGAUCAUGUGCCCCUCUCUUCCUGUUGCGAUCAACCUCAGUCAUUGCUACAUCUCCGUCUCGCUGAUCACGUUCCUGGUGAUGUUGAUCAUCAAACGAGUCUGCACUAUUGGGCGAUCGUCCUCUUCCUCUUCCCCCACGGCCUCUGCCGCGACCUCUCCCUGCAUUGCUGCUCUCGCCUUGAUAUCUUUGAAGACCAGAGUCUUUGGGGCAUGAACCCCGUCCCCGCACUCUUUGUGUUGGUGACCUAGAUGUCCACAAACUGCACACCAGUCCGGCAGUCUUUCAUAUUUGACUCUAAAGAUGACUCGUUCCACCGAAUCCUUUUUCCUUAUUACCAGUGAAACAACGUUCUUCAAAGGUUUAGUGACAUCGAUCCUGACUCAAACUCUAGCAAAGUUACCUUCAAAAUCCGGGGAUCUAGGCUCUGCAUAUAUGAAUUCUCCCAUAGUAGCAGACAUAGCUUUGACCUUAGAAAAGAAGCCAUCGGGCAGGUCGUGAAUCUGGAUCCAAAUUUCCAAUUUGUUGAGCUCUAUAGACGACGGCUUUGUGAAGCCAUCAUACUCUGCCAGAACUACUGCUUUCCCCUUGAAAUUCCAGGGGCCAUCUCCCAUAACCCUCUCCCAGUCACCCAGGCACGAGAAUUGCAUUGAGUACAGAUUAUCUUCCAGUGGUCUGAUCUUUACCUCUUGAGCUAGGUCCCAGGCCACUCUCAUAUUCCUAUAAAACCAAUAUUGGCUGUAUGUUUUCUCCGUGUGAACCCUAGCCAACGCCAUCCAGCGUGUUUCUUCCUUCGGCAGCUCGGUGUCUUCCACCACAACAUCAAUCAGAUCAUCUUCUUUCAGUCCAAGUUCCUCCAUCAUCGCAGCCAGAUUGGACGCAGUUGUACUUGAUCCAGAUGCAGUCGAACUCAUCAUGCGCUCGCUCGAGGUUAGGGUUCCGCGAGCGGUAGGUCCCAAGGAGUCACCACCCGCCCAGAACGCCGCGGCGGCCGAAGGCCACAGCGAUCGCCGGAAGGGGGUUAACAUCCGGGGAGGAAAAGUCCCUACGGUGUCGGCGUCGCCGUCGCUCGAGGGAAGAGAAAAACCCUAACGAGAGGGGAAACUUAGGAGGGAGAUUAGUGUUAUCGGUACCUGCCGCCCACACUACUUUAGAUAGCUAAUUGUAACUGGGCUGGCCCAUAUGUGUGAGCCCUCCUCCAUUACCGGUUGUGAAGGAAUUUCCUAUUCAACGCUUAUACCAUUUGUUAUAGUGUUUUCCUUUUGUUACAGUGUUAUCCGGGGACCUCCUACUUGGUCACCUGCGCGCAAAGUAGGAGGGAACGUGCACCCUUGGCUCCCAUGUAAGAGUUUUUCCCGCCCUAUUUUUAUUAUUUCAUUUUUAUGCCUUUUGUUUUUUCAUUUCUGUUUGUGUUUUUCUUCUUUAAAUAAUGUGUGGUUAAAAAAAUUCCCAAUUUCAAAACAAUACCAAAAUUGUUUGACAAAUCAGGAAAUAUUUGUGAAUUAAAAAUUGUUGAUGACUCUUCACUUCAGUGUCUCGACCCACCGGAACAAAAGCCGUGUGUACAAAUUGUGUUCGAAGCUUAUCGUAAACUGGCUUAGCAAGUGUAGUCUUGCCAAGUCUGCCUGGUCCAACAAUUGAGACCAUCUUCAUCUUGUGCUGCUGUUGCUUGAGACCAUGUGUGAGCCUCUUGGUUAGCUUGUUCCAUGCAUCUUCAAUGCCAACGAGCUCUUUCUGAUCAUUGUACAAAGCCAAUACACGAGGGUCAACCUUCUGUUUGCUAGCUGGAUUAGGAACAUCAUUGACCCUGUAUCUGGCACGCCGGCCAGCCAUCUCUUGAGAGCGGUUCUUGAUGUACCUGAUUGCAUCUCCGAUCUGAUGGCGAGUCUUGCCUUUUGUGAACAAGUUGGCCAUCUUCCCUACCUAUCAUUUGAUCAUGUUUGAGUUGGGGACGGCAUCAGAUUCAUAUCCCUCGACGGACACUAGGAAGUUAUCGAUGACAUCCUCCAUGUCAUACGACAGCUCCCUUUUAGGGAUUCAUGUCCCUUGGAAUCUCCGCCACCUUUACGAGGGCAGCGUUCAAGCUCUUCAUGUCCCUCUGGAGGGACUCGACGUACCGAAUAAAUGGGAGUUAGAGGACAGGAAUCUGUUGUAGGAAAGACAAAGGAAAUUGUUCUCCAUCGCCGUCCGGUUCCACUGGGAAAAAAUUACAUCCACUGCAACACCAAGACCGCAUGCUUACCGAGUAGUAGUAGAAGCAGCAGAGCUGAGUAAGGCACCCACUACCGAAUGCAGGGAUAAAUCCAGCACCAAGUAAGCAGCUCACAAGUGAGAGACGGCAUGCGCUUUGCGAACGGAAGGACAGGAGCAGAAAACAUUUUGGGAGAAAGAUCGACGUGGCUCAGAAAAUUGAAGGCGGUCUACUCCUCCUGAUUGAAGCCGGCGACUACACAAGCGCCAUGGUUUGAUGGAGCAAGAGAAAUGGUGUUGAACCCCCAACUCGUUCCAUUUCUAGCAGAAAAGUAGGGCAAUAAUUGAGUGGUGGUAUGUUAUUAGUGCUGGUAAUGGAGUAGGAAGCACCCUAGAAGUGCACCAACUAGUACAUCAAAAUACUCCUGCCAGUGGCGGUGGUAGAUCAUUCAUGUGUACUACUCGAUCGUAACAAGAACAAUUACAUGAACCAGCUUGUGCCACUAGUAAUAAUAUUUAGCUUAUUUUUACAUUAAGUUUUGCAAUGAAUAAUAUUUAGGUUAUUAAAAAGACUAUAGUUUAAUGGAUGGCCCAGAUUUGGAAAUAUUACUGCAGAUUUUUGGUAGUAAUAGACUUGCUUCACUUGUCGAUUUAUAUGAUCUGUCGCUUUCAGCGACGUUUGGGGCUGUGAUUUGGGUUUGUUGUCAUUGAAAUUGCACAACUAUAGAAACUGGAUUCUUUUUUAUUAUUAUAGUGAGCACAAGGAAUCAUGUUACUAGUUGAAUUCAUAGAAAAAGACUCCAUUCAGACUCUGUCCUGCUCCAUGAAAAUAUCCUAUCAGAUAGACGCAGAGCGGUACAUAUACAGACUCAGGUUUCUUGAAAUCUAAUGCAACCAAGUCUUGUACAAUGGUCACAUGUUAUGUGACCUGAACCAAUUAUGGGUUUGCACUUGAUAAUUCCCGCACGAACCACAUGUAAACAUGGUUCGAAGGCUUGAAUAACAAUGUAAAAUUGAUGUCAAGUUUUCCCGACUUGAUUCCUGUCUAGGUUGGAGUCAUCAGUCUACUUGAAGCACUCGUUUUUCUCAUCUACGUUGGAGGACUGAUUGGAGCAUGAAUUAGUUGAGGAGAUAGAAACCCAUUUUUGGCGAGGGAGAGGACAGAAACCCAUGACACAACAAGGUUUUCAUGAUCAUCAUUGGCUAACUUCAAAGUUCCAACAGAGUGCCAACUACCAAGUGAGUAGCAGUACAAGGCACUGUUCAGCUGAAUCAAUCUUUACAACAUUAACCUAUCAUUCACUGGCGUUUCAUACCCAGAAUUGACUCUUAUAACAGUACAGAAGCAAACCCCUACUUCGAGUCAGUGUUGCUCUGUACUUUUUUUAACGGAGGUUAUAACUACGGCCUCUUUAUUUAUUAUUCAGCGGCCAUCUUUAUUUAUUAUUCCACCAAAGUCUAACAAAAACAUACAUCAAGCUACUCGAAGACAUCACUCACACCUACAAAACUCGAAAAUGUAGAGUGCUCUCACACUCCUCAUAUCUAAACCGGUAUCGUCGCUGAUCCAUCCACAUAACGUGUCGGAACGAACAGCCAGUGCAGCAGACCUAAAGCGCACACCACAUGCACAUGUUUUAGACGCCGCCAUCAUCUGCAGACCGCUGACCCAUCUUCAGGAGAGAGAUCCACAUCAUCCUUGCCAGUCCGUCCAUCCAGUCCCUCCCUCCUCUCGGCCUCCCUAUUAUCCCUCCUCACCCUCUGCUGCUGAUCUGUGGCGGCCUCUCCAAUAGCUCUGUGGCCUUCUUUCGCUGCCGCACCGGCCCGAGCGUUGUCGCUUGCAAGCCGUCCGGAGGCCACAAUGGCGCUCUCCCGUCGGGACUUUGCCACAUUCCAGCAUAUCAGUUGCUCUGUCAUGGGGAUCUGUCCUGCUCCUAGCCGUGUCUCCCGCGAUGGUGGUAGACCUGACUUGUACUACAAUGUUCUUUGGUCGCACGGCUGGCCACGGCGGUUUGCUCCGUUCCUUUGUAUCUAUGUUGCAGCUUCAAUUGUGUUAUGCAUGUCAUGGAUGUAUUAUAAUUCUGGGAUGCAUGUAAUUGUAUUGCUAUGAAUCUUAAAAUUGCUAGGUGUUCCAUGAACCAAUGAAUAUGCUAGAAAAUAUUACUCUGUCAUAUAUAUGUUAGAAAAUGUUCUCGUCGGGCCGGGUUUCUCUGCCCUAGAGAACAUAUUCUACAUGUUAUAUGCGACAAUGUAGUGAUGAAUAUUUCACCGGAAAUAGUGUAAAUGCAACCAACUCCCCCAUUAGGAGACAGAGUGGAAUAUUGUUUGACGAUAGACUUGGUUUAUGCAUAUUCGACGCACGUUUGAAUUUUUUCUCCCGAGCCACAAGAAAGCUCCUCGCGCGACCGCGUCCGUCCCUCAUGGGCGGCCGGCCGCGCUGUCCAUCCCUCCUUCCCAGCGCUCUCCCCCACCCUCUCUCUCCCCACCGUUGCCGGGGUGCAUCCCCGGGCUCGGCUCGGGCGGCGCCGGCGGUGCGGCCCACGGCUUUCCCCCCUGCGGCAGAUCCUGUGCGGGGCGGCGCUGCUUAAGGAGGUGCUCUCAGGUGGCGAUGGUUCGGCGCUGCGGUGGGCUGGUUCGCCGCUGACUUCGGUGGUCAGAGGCGGAGGAGCUCCGCGGCGGCGCGGGCUGGUGGCGCCCGUUCGGCCCAGAUCUGGGCCGAGGCGGGCCGGCAGCUCCGAUUUGUGGUGUAUCUUCCUGGAAGCGGCGGUGGGGUGUCUGGAUCCUGGGUGGUGGCGGCAUCGUUGCCGGAUUGUGCAGCGUGGCGGUGGAGUCUUUGCGGGAUCGAUCUGAGCCCGGCUAGGCCCGGGUGGCCUGGUUUGCCUCCCGCCUCGGCGUCCGGCUGGCUACCGCGAUGGCGUUGGAGGAACUGGCCUCUGGCGCGGCGUCGGUGGAGGUUGUCCCCUCCCGCUUGGCUGCGGUGCUGCCACCCCCGGCUCCAUGCGUUCUCAUUUUCCGUCCUCUAGGCCUCGCGGUGGUGGCCUUAGUGAGACGGCGUGGGUGGCCUCAAGACCGCGGUGGCGAAGGAGGGUGGGUGGCGUGUUGGGUGGAAGACUCCGGAGCGAUUGGGUAGUGUGCACAAGUGUUAGAAUCCUAAAAGGUAAAUAGUUUCUUAAGAUCUGAAGCAAGUGUUGGAAGAUUCUGCUGCCUCUAGAUACACAACAAAUGUCCACAUGUUGCUUCUUGGAGAAGCCGAGAGAGCCUUGAGCGGAGUGUUUAACCUUAUGUAUGAUAUUCUUAACUACCAUUUGUAUUAAAUGAACCAAUAAACAUUUUAUGUUAAUUGUCUUGACAAAUUUUGCUGUGUGCAGACUUACAUAUUAGUGGCACUACACAAAAAAAGAUGGCUAAGGGGUUUAUGAAGUAGGAUAGAGAUUGGUGAGAAAAUAUGUGCCCUCUCUCUCGUUUGUAAAGAGGUUCAAAUGUUAUGUGUGUAGCUUUUGCUAGUAUUCUCGAAUCGUUGGCCGUGAAUUGUCAAUUGUGUAAAUGUACAUGUGAAUUGUCUUAUGAAAAACAAUGUGCAACUGAGUGAUUAUGCCUGUGUAUUGUGUUCAUGUCUUUCUGUAAAUUUCGUUUGCAUUGCUGGUAACAUACUGAAAUGAAGUGCAUGCAUGCAAUGGUGAAAUGAAUCGGUACGAUCGACUGGCUGGCGGUCCAAACUAGUACACUAUCACUGACCGGUUAGAUUGCGGGUCUAUGAUGAGCAAGUCAUCACAAACCCUGAUCCACUGACAGACCAGCAACUAGUUAGUGAUGAUGAAAUUUGGCCGGUAAGUGUUAUUCGGAUUUGUAGUANNNNNNNNNNNNNNNNNNNNNNNNNNNNNNNNNNNNNNNNNNNNNNNNNNNNNNNNNNNNNNNNNNNNNNNNNNNNNNNNNNNNNNNNNNNNNNNNNNNNNNNNNNNNNNNNNNNNNNNNNNNNNNNNNNNNNNNNNNNNNNNNNNNNNNNNNNNNNNNNNNNNNNNNNNNNNNNNNNNNNNNNNNNNNNNNNNNNNNNNNNNNNNNNNNNNNNNNNNNNNNNNNNNNNNNNNNNNNNNNNNNNNNNNNNNNNNNNNNNNNNNNNNNNNNNNNNNNNNNNNNNNNNNNNNNNNNNNNNNNNNNNNNNNNNNNNNNNNNNNNCUCGGGUUUCUGCCCCUUUAUGAUAUAUGAGAAAACUGAACGAUUCAGGUGAAACUAGUCAUGAUAAUAAUUAGCAAUUCUAGUAUUUUAACACACAUAUCCCAAUCACUAUAGUUUUUUCAAACGACUAUUUUAACAACGCAUCUACGAUUCAUAGUAAAAUGUGACAUUGUAUACUGUAAAAUUUCUACAAUCUACAAGGUCAAAUUUAUUGUAAAUGUGACCACAACACCAGAUACACUAGAAAUAAAGUAAAACCCUAAAAGUCCCAUGCUAGCUAGACUACUCUUGGUUGGCUAGAAAUUAGGAGGGAGUACCCAGAUGCCAGUUUGAGCACGAGCUGCUACAUAAGAUCCCGCUGAUUUGAUCCUCUGUGUGACAUUGUCGCUACUUUCAUCUUGCAUAGGAUAUACACGGUUACCAUUGCCAUCAAAACUUGCCAAGUAUGUCAUAUCAUCAGCGUAGAUGUGGUUUCUCUGCACCCUGUCGCGCCCAACCACCGGCACGUCAACCGCCCUGGACAUUUUCCCCAAAAAUAAGGCGGAGUCACCCAAGGUCCUUACUUCCUCCCACUUACGAGCAUACUUUGUCAUCGAGUCAUCAUCCAACACAUAAACCUUGAAGAAAGGCUCAGGGCCGGUGUGGUAUGAUGGGAAUUUCCCCAGUACCAUCGCUAGCUUCCCUUGCAGCUCAACAAUGUGAGUCGACCAUGUGAAAGGUUCACUAACAAUCUUGAUAUGCAACUCGGCGUCAAUGGCGAGCAGAGGCCUGCCAUAUUUGUUCGCGCCUAUGUUGAAUUUGAUCAGGUCAUUGGAGAAUAUUAUAUUAAUGUCAAUUUAAUAUUAUACUAUGUGUCGUCAAUUUAAAAGGCUCCUGCCGUCAUGCCUUUGAGUAUUAUAUUAAUGUCAAAUUGUUUAAAUGCUAGUAAUUAGUUAACUUAGAAGCAAACUGUUUAUUGAUAAAAUGCUAUAGUAUAAUUAAGGGAGUUUUUUUUUUGAAAAAUAAUAAUGUUAGAUAUAUGCUGAUGCAACAAGGGCAUGAUUUUAUUUGUUAGCAAUACUAAUAAAAAAGUUCAUAGAAAAUAAUUUUAUACUCCCGAGGGUUAUACACAUAGUUUAAUUUGUUAAUUGUUAAAAAGUUAGCUAUACAACUAGCUAUAUAUUUGUAAAUACUAAUUAGUAGUGUAAAAAAGCAGGAACGAGCACCCGCCUAUGAUACCUUGAUUUACCAACACAAAACGUGCAUCUUGUGUGUAUGAUUGUGAAAUGCACGUUGUGUGUGGAGUUUGACAUCUAAUUUUUAACCCGCUGUUGGUCUUUCAUAUAGAGGAAUGUCUCGCUGUGCUUCCACGAGUCCCUGUAGUUCGCUACGGCUCAGAAACACAGUGUUCGGACGUCAGAUACACUAAAGUUGCACUAUGACAACCAUUGUACAAUCCAGCCCGCCUCAGUUAUAUUAAUAAAAAUAUCGAUCCGAGAACUUUAUCAUGUAUCUGGUUGCGACAGACGCAUAUACGUUCGAGAAAAAGGAGAUAAAUGGUCCUGCGAAGGUAAGGUGGCAGCUAUCGGUGUUCUAGUACACAAGACAACCGAACGCUACACACAGUACUACAAGUCAGUAAUAAAUAGAGUCUGGCGACUACUAGGCUGGCAUGACAGUGCUGUCGAGCGACUCGCCGAUGUGUAUGGCAAUGUGGAAAAUGCAUCCCAUUACUUCUCAUCUCCGCUCCUCUUUGCUCGGUUUGUCCAAGAAGCGGAACACACCACUCAUGUCGGCCUACAUGGCAUAACAUGCUCGUGGAGAAACUAUGNNNNNNNNNNNNNNNNNNNNNNNNNNNNNNNNNNNNNNNNNNNNNNNNNNNNNNNNNNNNNNNNNNNNNNNNNNNNNNNNNNNNNNNNNNNNNNNNNNNNNNNNNNNNNNNNNNNNNNNNNNNNNNNNNNNNNNNNNNNNNNNNNNNNNNNNNNNNNNNNNNNNNNNNNNNNNNNNNNNNNNNNNNNNNNNNNNNNNNNNNNNNNNNNNNNNNNNNNNNNNNNNNNNNNNNNNNNNNNNNNNNNNNNNNNNNNNNNNAAGACGAUGAAAAUUGAGUAAACACAAAAGUAAAGUAGCCGGUCUCAUUAUCAUUAGAAGACGAUGGCAACUACUGCAUGCACCCAUACAUUCUUGGAUCGCUAUAUUUGGCUUAUUCGGUCACAAACCGACGACUUUGCAGCUGCUACAUAAACAACGCUACUCUGGAUCUUAGGGAAAAAUGUUUGGAGACGGAUAUUGAUAAAGGAAACCGAGGAGAGUUGGUGAUGUGAGUCUACUCCAUCGUGCAUGCUACCUACAUGGACAAGCACAUCCGACCUGGCACAGCCUCGAGUUUCAUUAUCCCCUCUUGAUCCCUCUGAUGUUUCCUCUUUCUCUUCAUCAUCAUCUUCACAUCCCUCAAUGUGCACGUUUUUGUGCCUCGAUUUGAUUGGUUCAACUACUUGCUGGCUAUCCUCAGAGUGGUCAAUUUUUUUGGUGUUCGCGAGGAGUCACCAGUACAAGCAUGGUACUGAUAUGUCAUACAUGACCGUGGCAUUUGUACUUGUAGUUUCCUUUCAUUUUUCAUUUUCCUUUUUAAACGCAUACUGUACUUUCUUUACUACACGAUAAUUAAUAUACACUGCACAUUUUUGUAGUAUACGUCAAACAAAUUUUUUAAUUGUAUGAAAACAUAUUUUAUAUUCACACUAUUUUAAAAAAAUAUAGUGAAUAUUUCUAAAUACAUCUAUAAUUUUUUAAUACACAAUGGACAAUUUUUUCAUGUACACAUAACACUUUUUAGUAUAUGAGGAACAUUUGAAAUAUACGGCGAACAUUUUCUAUAUACCCACUAAUAUUUUUAUAAAUGCUGAACAUUUUAAAAGUACACGUUCAUUUUUGUGUUUUCACAAACCAUAGAAAACCAAGAAACUGAAGUAAAAUGAAUAAACGAAAAAAAACAGUACCGGACAGCUCCGUCGCUGCAAAAAUAGGUCUGCACGUCUUAGUGGGCCUACCCAUUCAGAGUCACCUAUGCGUAUCCUCAACUUUUUCGACAACGGGUGCCUUUUAUUUACUUAUAAUGUUGCAUCGAGGGAUACAAUCAUAACAAGCACACACCCAAACUAUGUAUAACUAGCAUACACACUGCGAACACACAUAAAAAAUCACACUGGCAAAUAACAAAGUCAAAUAAGACAAGAACUAUGGCUAGACACAUACAGAAAACGAAGGAAAGAAGAAGAAAUCCCGAGGCGACCAAAAGAGCAUACGUGAGUGAUCAUAUGUGCCAACCAUCUGAACUACUGCGUCAACUAGGAGGUCUCGCUUCUAAGGCCAUCAAUAAUAUUAACGAUGGUUCCAUAUAAAAAAAGAAUAUUAACGGUGGUAGCAGGUGCGAGAUCUUAAAUUAUCAUUUUUUAAGGCCGCUCCAUCGUUUUUGUUCUGCACAAGUGGCUCCCCUAGCCGUAACCCCACCCACUGGUUAUGUAGUUCUUUAAGAGAAAAUCGAUGACACAUGCAAGCAACAAUUUUGUAUCUUCUGUCAUUUGUUUAUACUAUGCCAUCACGAGGAGAUUGCACUUAAAAAGACAAAUUGCAUAUAGGAUAGUUAAAAAAGGGUUGUUUUCUGUCGUGGAAAGGUUGAUUCUAGUAUGAGUAUUCUCUUGGUAUCCGUUCCUUCAUGGAGAAGAGAAGGUGAUUUUCUCUCGCCGCCCCGUCAAUUGAAAUUAUACAUGUUCAAUGAUGACAUGAAGGUUAAUUUCACACCACUCAUUCAUUGUGCUUGCCUUGAGUUCCCUUCAAGGAUAUACCGUGGCAUUCCCGCCUCAAAGAGCUUUUUCAAACCCCUUUCUCAAGAUGCACAACUCAGUCAUUGUUAUCUUGUGUAGACGGGUUCAUCCAACAGGGUAUAAGAUAACACGAUGGACUGAACUGAAGAGAAAAGAAAAAAAAAAUCAUCUACUAAGCCUUAAGCAUUAAACAAGCUUGGAGUGUUGGUCAGCGUGCGACAUCAUUCAAGAAUUUUGUGGACCUACGCUGACCCAAUGAACUUGUGCCCUAUCCCUUGAAGAAAUAUCUCAUCAAUUAUGAAUAAAAAUGUUUGAAGCAUAGAAGUACUCAUGUUUUGACAACAAUACGACCCAUUGUCAUAAACUCAUAAUAUCCCCAAUUUUUACUCAUGAAAAUCAUGUUUGCAUCCCUUUUUGACUCGUUACAUUGCAAUUGUGUCCCAAUUAGAUAACAAUAACACUAAUGAUUGAGCUUGCCAUUGGUAUUCAGUUAUGUGUACACACACAUCACCUUAUGGGUAUUUCACACGAGAAGAAAAUUAGAGGCGAUUUAUUUGCAACUAACAGGCGCUUGCCGCCUCCCAUUGGCUCGCUGCUUGCCAACAAGCAUUCGAUUCCAUUCAACUGAAUUUAAGAAAAAUGGUCAGCAUGUUGGCGCUGUACUGUGUUGGGUUCGUUGAUUGCAUCCAUAUAUAUAAGCAGUCCAUUCCAUUCAACUCAAUUCAUCAACUGCAUCCAUAAUAAAUAUCAAAAAUUCCCCAUGGCACACAACGUGAUUUGCUUGCUUCUUGAUCGGAUUAUCAAACACCGGAGGGGUGUCUUCCUGUGUGAGGGUGGCCGAAACAAACUCGGCAAUUGCAGACGCUCUGAACUCGCCAUCUGCAAUACACACAGUACAUUGUUAGCCAAUUUAACAGUCAAACCAACUCGGUACAUAGAAAUGGAAAGGAGAAGCUAAAACAAGUUUACCAUAUACUGUUAACUUCGCCUCUUUUUUCUUGAGCAGGACUAGUGAUGGGCGCUUUGCUUGCGGGUCAACAUGGAAAAGCUUGGCUAUAUCAGGACUGGUAGUCUGGUAGAUGUUGACAGCCCGGUACAAGCUGUUGAAAUCUUCCAGCCUUGAGGCAGCAGCAAGCUCUUCGGUGUGAGCACCCUAUAGCAUUUGUUGAUAAGAGUAAUCAAUUUUGGGCCACAUGUGCGGUGCAAUUGCAGCAAUUCGGUUGGAUGGUAGACUUUGCUGGGAUUGGAACGUACCGAAAGGGAGUCGAGGAAAGCUAGCACGGCUACUUUGCCGCCGGUGAUGAUCUUCUCGGCCUCGUCGAUGGUGGUGACGUUCUGCACCUCAGGGCCCAGCCUCUGGGAUAUCCAAGUGACCAUGGCGUCCCUGCAGCAGUGGAAAAUUCGCCACCAUGAGGGAUGAAAUAUAAGACCGUUUAGAUCACCAAAGUAAUCUAAACCACGAACAAAAAAUAAGAACAAAAAAUUUGAAUGGAACAUUUCCUGAAAUUCACAAACAUUUCUUAAAAACAUGAAUCUUUCUAAACCACGAACAUUUUUUAAGUUGUCAACAAGAACAUGUUUUGAAGAUUCAGAAGAGUUGUAGUAAUUUUUUUCUUUAAUGCAAACAUUAUUUUCAAUUUUUGAACAUAUUGUGAAAACAACAAUAUUUUUAGAAUUUGGAAUAUUUUCAAAAUGCAUUUUUCUAAAUAUUGUUUUUUAAAUACAGUUAUUUUUUAACAAAUGGCAAUAUUUUUUAAAUUUUGAAAUACAUUUGGCAGAACUAAAAAAAUUCCAAACAUUUUUAGAAUAGGAACACAUUUAUGUAAUUCGUAUAUUUUUAUGAAUUCUUGAAUAAAAAUGAAAUUGCGAUAUUUUCCGAAAAUUUUGAAUUUCAGAAAAUACGUAGAAAAUAGACUUAGAAUGUGAAAAGUAAAAAAUAAAUACGAAACAAAAAGAGAACUAAGCAGAAAAAUAAAAAUGGAAACCGAACACAAGCAUAAAUCGGCCGCUGAGUUUUGGGCGCCUUGUGCGUACCUGAAACUAUUUACCGCCUUGUGCGGGAAAUAGGAUUUUUUGUUGCUACAUGGGCAGGAAAAAAUGGGCUGAAUUUACGGGGCCAUAGUGCGCGCGGCCCAUGUACGAAAUUUUGCACAAAUUGUUUUUCCUUUGCUAAUAGACGAACAUAGAAAGUUUAGUACCACCUCGGAAAGAAAAACAAUAAUUUUUUGGCGGUGAACGGAUAAAAAAAUCGGAGAAACGCACCUUGCUUUAUUAGUAGGUAUAUAUAGAUAUUGAUAUAGAUAUAGAUUGCUCAAGGUGAAAAGCUAAGGCUAUCCUCUUAAGAAAAAAAACGAAGUUAUCUUCCUCGAAAGAAAAACAAAACUAUGUUAUAUAUCCUCCUCUCAAUCAACAAAAUCACCUCUCCUCGAGCAAGCCAACUCUGACUGCACCAUGGGUAAACGUCAAGAUCCCUCCGAACGAUACACGAGAACCGUCUCGGCCACUGCCAAACAAUUGGCCACAAGCUUCGACAACAUAGCAGCUUGGAUUUUGCCGAUGAACUUUGCUGGGGAAAAUUGUAAGCCUCGCACCGAUCUAGUCCAGCGCAAUCUCUGGAGAGCAGCGUCCACUGAAACCAUCUUCAUGGAGUCAUCGUUUCCGCAGGCGCCCCUCCACACACAGCUUCAUCUUCUUUGUUACAACAAGAAACAAGCAUAGGCACACCCAUUGGCACACCCGACUGUCAAAUUCAGAAGGGCCAACCACGACCUAGCUCCGCUCGCCACCAUUGUCGUCGCCACGAGUGCCAACACCAACUACUCGCAUCAUCAGCUGUGCACCAUCCAACCGUGAGAAUGUGCAUAUCCAACCCAGGAAAAGUGUGGAGGGGAACAAAUCUUCAAGACGGCGCCCUAAGUGGGGAGCGAUGCAGAAAUAACAAUGUUGUCCGACCCUGCAACAGGGACCUUAGGCUUUUACUGAAGACAUCCCAAGGGUGACCAAGAUGGAAGAGCUGCACGGCGACCCUCCAAGAAGGAAUAACGACACUAGCAACCGCCACAUCAUCAUUGAUGGCAUAAUCCAGGCAAGCCUUUGCCCCGGAGGAACAAACGUGCACAUACACCCCCACUAGACAAAAUACUGCCUUACCUAUAGACAAAUCAGUUCUUUUUUGGGCGAGAUAAGCCCAAAGUAAUCUGUGCAAAUAUUCUCUGUAAAUUCAAAAUCUAUGUGUAUUAUAUGUAGUUAAUCAACAUUUUACCGCCCAAAUUAGAAUCCUAGCCACUUUAUACCUCGAACUUUCAUUAAAUGUGUCUAGACUUACGUAUUGAGUGCACCAUGCAUGCUGCCAAGCCAACCCGCGUUGAAUCGCGCCAUAAAUUUCCUUAAGUUUAAAUUUCCGCUAGGAUUUACCUUGUAAAUAAGUUUCCACCGUUCUUACUAGCACAAAUUUAAAGCUUUGGGGUAAAUCCUUUCUGCAUAAUCCCUGUAAAAAAUGAUAAAAGUAAAGGUACAAAGUAGAAAUUUUAAUAUAUAUCAUCACACAAUCAUAGUACAACCAGCACACACAUACAAUUAUCAUCCAUACAAGCCAGAAAAGUAAGUCAGAACAAUCACAAGAUUUACAUGGGCAUCAUACCCUAAUCUUGAUUGAUCUUGACAUUAUAUAGCACAGAAUGACUUGAUGGUGGUGGGUUACAACACACCACUUAUUUAAUCCAGCAGGCAAUAUAAGUCACGAGUAUACUAUAUCUGGCGCGGUUGAUGUACUCGAACAUCUCAUCCCAGCGGCUCCUCUUGGAUGUGUGCUUCCACAUUUUCCUUUUCCGCUUGUGUCCCAAGUGGUGGUUUUGGUUGUGCAUUCGGGUCCGGCAGUCCAGGCAGUGGUUGUGGGUUUGGGUCUGGUAAUGGUUGUGGGUUUGGAUCAGGCUGCGGUCCUGGUAAUGGCUGAGGGUUUGGGUUUGGUUGUGGGUCCGGCAAUGGUUUUGGGUUUGGGUCUGGUAAUGGUUGUGGGUUUGGAUCAGGCUGAGGUCCUGGUAAUGGUUGAGGGUUUGGGUUUGGCUGUGGGUUNNNNNNNNNNNNNNNNNNNNNNNNNNNNNNNNNNNNNNNNNNNNNNNNNNNNNNNNNNNNNNNNNNNNNNNNNNNNNNNNNNNNNNNNNNNNNNNNNNNNNNNNNNNNNNNNNNNNNNNNNNNNNNNNNNNNNNNNNNNNNNNNNNNNNNNNNNNNNNNNNNNNNNNNNNNNNNNNNNNNNNNNNNNNNNNNNNNNNNNNNNNNNNNNNNNNNNNNNNNNNNNNNNNNNNNNNNNNNNNNNNNNNNNNNNNNNNNNNNNNNNNNNNNNNNNNNNNNNNNNNNNNNNNNNNNNNNNNNNNNNNNNNNNNNNNNNNNNNNNNNNNNNNNNNNNNNNNNNNNNNNNNNNNNNNNNNNNNNNNNNGGCAAUGGUUUCGGGUUUGGGUCUGGAAAUGGUUGUGGGUUUGGAUCAGGCUGCGGUCCUGGUAAUGGCUGAGGGUUUGGGUUUGGUUGUGGGUCCGGCAAUGGUUUUGUGUUUGGGUCUGGUAAUGGUUGUGGAUUUGGAUCAGGCUGCGGUCCUGGUAAUGGACGAGGGUUUGGGUUUGGCCGUGGGUCUGGUAGUAGCUGCGGGUUUGGGUUUGGCCAUGGGUUCAUCAACCGUUGCAGGUUUUGGCCUGGCAAUGGUUGUGGAUUUGGGUCAGGGUGUGGUCCUGGUAAUGGUUGAGCAUUUGGAUCAGGUUGUGGCUCAGGCAGUGGUUGUGGGUUUGGAUUAGGUUUAGGAUCGGGUAGUGGUUGCGGGUUUGGGUCUGGUCGUGGUCCUGGCAGUGGUUGUGGGUCUGGCAAUGGUUGAGGAUUUGGAUUUGGUUGUUUUCCUGGUAGUGGUUCUGGAUUUGGGUUAGCCCGUGGGCCGUAUAGAGGGUCUCUAGUGAUCAAGGUGUGC
rnacentral:lncRNA from 1 species